AAACUACCAGUCUCUUACAGUUGUAGAUUUCAAGCGUCUGCAAGGAUUGAAGGAUGGUUGGCAACCUUCCCAGCAAUAGAGGACAUUUUCUGAUUGAAAGAAAACGAAGGCUGGGGAAUUUCGAUACUUGCUCAUCAUCUUCACAUAGGUCCCACUCCUCCCAAUUCAGCAUAUUGCCAAAACGCAGAGACUCUAAUGAUGCAAAAGUAUUUGAUUGAUUUUCUCCAAACAUCUCAGCACCAAUCUUGUGUACUUGAUCCAAACCACUAAUUGAAAGAUCUUUUAACAACAACAACCUUCCAAUCGAUGGUAGAGAUUUGCAAUUUUUACAGUCGUGAAGCUCCAAUGACAACAUAUUUUUGAAGGAAGGAUCUGCAAUCCAAGUAGAGAAUUUUGCACCACCAUAAUUCUCAAUGACGAGUUGCUCAAGCUUUUUUGGAGGACAAAGAGAGUCCAACACCCAUUCUUCAACUUCUUUAUUCCUUGAAGCAUUUUCAAACUUUUUCCUCCAAUGCAAUACCAGUCGAUCAAUCCCCUGCUUCUCAUAUAACUUGCUUUCCCCUGCAUCUUCACCAUUAACAUUCUCCAACCCAGAAAGACGGAAAUCACCUUCGAGGUUUGACAAAUAUUUCAAACCUCUAAUAUAACUACCAUCACCUUCCCCUAUUAUAAAAUCAGUUAAACUUUGAAGAUUCGUUAGCUUAUCAAUUCUAAAAGGAAUCCUUUCUAUUGAGUUCGCACCUCUGAUAUCAAGAUAAUGCAAGUUGACAAGAUUUCCCAUCUUUGAAGGUAACAUUUGAAGCUUGUAACACCACCUUAAUAAUAAGGUUUCUAAAUGGUAAAGAGUGCACAAAGAAUCUGGUAGGCAUUUGAUUUUUGUGCUCGAAAAAUUUAAGUAGCGAAGAUGUUUUAAAUUUUCAAAAACAUCAGGCAACUCAGUGAUUAUAUACCCACUCAAAGAAAGCAUCCUUAGGUAGCCAAGUCUUGGUAACAAAUCAUCCAAAACAACAUUAGUUAAAAAAGGGGCCCGAUAAUCACACAUUAAGGGUAAAAAAGUACGUAGAGAAUUCACUUGAUCAAAUGCUUCAAACUUCUUCACUGUGUCAUAUGUUCCAACAAUAUAAGAAGAAUGUCGAGUGCGAUUUGAGAACUUCCAUUUCUUAUCACCCUCUAAUUUUGAGCAUAUUUCCCCUGCAACUACUUGAGCUAAAUCAUUGAUAAGGUCAUGCAUUACGAAUCGGGACUUAUCUUUACUGGAUGUUUGAAAGAAUCGGGACUUAUAUUUACUGGAUGUCUGAAAAAAUGACCUGGACACUAGAUCUUGAAAAUAUUGAUUUCCGAGAUCUUUAAUUUGAGGCAUAGCUUUUUGUUGCAAGAGACCUUCUGCUCUCCAUAACAAGAUAAUUUCUUCUUCCCCAAAUUCAUAGUCUUUAGGAAGUAUGGAGCAAUAUGCAAAACAUCGUUUCAAGUAUGACGGAAGAUGAUGGUAGCUUAACCGCAAAGCUGGAAUUAUGCCACACUGCUCUUCUGGUAAGUUCCAUAUCUCACUCUCAUAUAGUCUUUCCCAUUUUCCAUGAUAUUUAACCGUGCGAAGCAAGCUUCCAAUGACUUUUGCAGCCAAAGGUAAGCCAUUGCACCUUCUAACAAUUUUCUUUCCAAUUUCUUUAAACUGGAGAUGUCCAUCGAAAUUUCUUGCUUUUAAUGCAUGCUGUGUAAAUAUGGAUAAACAAUCAUCAUCCGAUAGUUUAUCCAAAUGAAAAGCUUUGAGCGGAUCCACAAUAGAUGAAACAAUUUGAAGACGAGUGGUUACAAUGAUAUGGGUCCCUGCUCCAAACGGAGACCGUAAGAUGGUCCAAUCAUUAUAAUUUUCGUUCCAAAUGUCAUCUAAAACAAGCAAGAAUCUUUUCCCAGACAACUUCUCCUUCAACUUAACUUGAAGUAAAUUCAAGUCAUUCUCGUCAUGAGAGUCAGGAUCGAUAGAUUUUAAAAUUGUCCUGGUUAUAUUAACUGCGUCAAAAUUAUCAGAAACGCAUACCCAGGCCUUGUGGUGAAAAGACUGGUUGAAGGUGGCAUCAUUGUAAACAAGCUGAGCAAGAGUUGUUUUACCCAUCCCUCCCAUGCCGACGAUGGAAAGGACUGAAACUCCGUUGGAGUUAUCACCUUUGAGAAACUCAAUCAUUUCUGUCUUCUCCUUGUAUCUGCCAACAUACUCCACAACUCCAUCCAGUACGGAAGUUGGUUGCAGCCUAGGUUGCUUUCCCUUGGAGGUUGGAGCUUGAGACAAGAUCUCACUCAACCCCAAACUACUUCUUCGAGUAGUCAAACUAUUCAGUCUAGCAGUGAUCUCUUUCACCUUCGGAAUCAUGGAAUUUUUAAACAGGAAAGAAGUGGGAGCGAAACUAGUACCAGUAAAGCAGGUAGGAAUGAGUUUCCGUACCUUGCUAGGGCUGGCUUCAGCUUGCGAUUUGUUGAGCUUGAGACGUAACUCUUCAUAAGCGAACUCAUCCAAGAUGUCAUCCACAUCGUAAGCCAAGUCCUGGAGAUCCUCCAACCAUUUCUUCACACCCAUGUUCUUGAUCUGCUUCUCCUCUGCAUCGUCCAACACUGCUUGGAUAUCAGGCAAUAUGGACUGCCACUGCUUGAGCUGCUGGUGGAGUUGCUUAUGAUCAGCAACAAAGUUGAGCGCAGAGUCGAGCGAUUUGCCCACCAACAAGUCCAGGAACCCAGAAAGAGCAGCCUCUCCAAUGACAGACAUGGUGGAAUUAUGAGAAAGAAGAUGAAGAGAGAAAUGAACAAGCCAAAAUGGAAAGUCAGGGAACAAAAAAAAGAAAGAAAGGGAAAUGGAAUCUGCAAAAUUAAUGAAGUUGAAGAAUUUGGCACUAUUUUUUAUACAUCCAAUAAUUCAGACUAUGAGUUGGGAAAUAGAGGGGCUCGGGUAAAAAUAUAGGCCUGAAAUAUGAAUUUGAGUAGAAAAAUAAGGCCCGUUUAGAAAACGGGUCGAGUCUCAGGUAUCACUUUUUUUUAGACCCGGCAUAGUCCGAAUAUAAUAAAUAUAUAUUUUUUAUUUUUAAAAAUAUUUUUUAAUUUUUUUAAAAAUUUUAGUGUUUAUUAAAAAAUAAGCCAGACCCGAGCUUAAGAAUUUUUUCUCAAACCAGGUUUAGACAAAAUUUUAAGCUCAUAUUUCAGACUGGGUUGGGCUUGAGCUUAAGACACGGACUAAAAUUUUUUUAUAGGUCCGACCUGACGCGGCCCAUAAGCACCUCUAUUGGGAAGGCAGUGGAAUGUGAAAAAGGAUCCCAAGUGGCUGUUGAUGGGGAAAAGACAACGAAAGUGGAAAUUAGAGAGGUCUCAGUCCAUGAAAUUAUUGCACCCUCUCGUUUAUCAUCUCCCUGCAAUUAUUUGAAUAGUUUUUCUUUAAUUUUUCAUCUAUUUUAAUCAUUGAAUUUGUAUUUAUUUUUGUUAAAUCACUUCAAAAAAAAUAGAAAACUUAAAGAGUAUACAAUCUUAGUAAAGUUAAAAACAUUAAAAUUUUCAUUUAUUUUGAGGUAAUUUAACAAGAAAACACAAGUUCAAAAGCUAAUUCUUUUUCGUAAAGUUAGAUAACGAAAUCUUUAUGUAUUUCUUUUAUGAGACCAAAGUAGAUUAAAGUAUUUGUAACUCUAAAAUGGAUGGAGCUACUUAUGGCUUGGUGUACUAUUUGUUAGAAUGCAUCAAAUACAAAUCUUAACAUUAAAUUAAAUUUUGAAAAAAAUACUAAUACAAAUAAAAAUAUUAAAAUUGAAGAUAAAAAUACUGAUGUAACAUUAAAUUAUUAAAAAUGGAACAAAUGUCAUAGUAUCCCAAUUUUAUACUAUAAUUCCUCCAAAAUAAUUAUAUUUUUACAUCAUGUUUUUAUAAUAUAUGAUUUGAUCAUAAAUUAAACCCUUAAUUAUAGUGAUUAAUGUUCCAUUUGGAAAACACUUUUAUAUUAAUUAAUUAUAAGAAAACCUUUUUUAUGGAGAAGUGUGUUUAUACUAGUUAUAUUAUAGAAAAGUAUGUUUGAUAAUAGGCCUAAUUGAUAUCUUUAUUGGGCUUAAUUUUGAUAAAUUCUUUAAUGAGAUGUGAUUAAUUUUAGAUUUAUUAUUUGAUUUCUAAUUCGGUGUAAAAAUAAACUCAAAAAGUAAAAAAGAGUCGGAAAUACGAAUUAUCGUAAAAAAUAAUAAUACGAAUUAUCGUUGUGGAAAUUUGCUUAAAUAAAAACAAAAUAUACAUUUGAAUCUUCAACUCCAGGUAAGAAAAUGCGCAAGCAGUGACCUCAUGUCAGUCACAUCCUUAUUUCAUUUUUCAACCCCCCCAAAAAGGCAUGAGGAAAAUCUACCGUGGGGUACCUUGUCCCAUCAAAAUUUAUAUUUUAGUCAUUGAAUUUUAAAAAGUUACAAAAUGAUUAUUAAACUAUUCAAAAAUUUUCAUUUAAGUCACUAAACUAUUUGGAAGUUUUUAUCUAAGUCACUACUUUGUUAAGUUUUUUUCCUAAAAAAAUUAAGCCAGUGAACUCCAAGUAACGAUUCAACAAAUACCCAUCAACAAGUACAAUAAUACACCUUAGAUCCAAGUUAAUUAGAUGGUCAAUGCUGUAGAUCGAAGAAGAAAGUUGUUAAAAUUUUGGUUCAUAGACUCGUGACAUUCAAAGUUGUUCCAUGAAAAAGAAUGAAAUAGUAAAAGAGAAGGAGAAAGAUAACUUUCGAUUGAUGUAGAUGGUGUGAACAAAAAAGGUCAUACAAUAACGAUUUUAACAACCCAAUGACUUAAAUUAAAACUUUCGAAUAAUUCAAUGAUCAUUUUUUUAACUAUUUUUAAAAUUGAGUGAGUAAAACGUAAACCUAUUAGUAAUUUAAUAACCUUAGUUGUAGUUUACCUAAUUUUCGAGGAAACUAUAAAGGGAAGCAAGAAUACCCAUAUGCAUAAGGUCUACUUUUACCAUACAUAUCUAAUAUUAAUCCAUAUAUAUCCAAUGGUGAGUACUAAUUUUUAAUUUGUUUAAGAUAAACCUAUCUCGAAAAUUCAAAUAUAAAAUUAUAAUUUUAACUCGAUUCAAUUUAAUUUCAUCAUAAAAAUCAAUAGUCCAAACUCAAAAAUAACCUGAAAAAAAAAAUCUAAAAACAAUAUGAAUCAAACCUAAAAUAACCUAACAUAAGUGGCUUGAAACUUGAGAUGACGGCAAAUAAGAGUCAUGACCCCCUUCAAAAAUAAGGAAAUUAUAAUUUAAUCGUUUUAAAAUCUAUAAAAUUCUAAAUUUCACAAAAUAAUAUUAACUUGAAAUCUGAGUGCGUAAUGCAAGAUGAACAGAAGUUUCCAAGGUCUAUAAACUGAGCUUUUGUGCAGUGACAGAAAGAAAAAAAAAUAUACAUGUAGUAGGUGAGCGACAAUAACAGGCUUUAAUUUAAAAAAAAAAAAAAAAAAAAAAAAAAAAGAACAACUGCCUGCAUGCUUCACAUUCCUUUCAUUUUCCAGCCGCCUAAUCAACCAACUUGCUCACAUUGUGAUGGACAUUUGAUUAUUUUGUUUCGGUUUAUUUAUAGUUUUACUCCCUCUAAAUUUUAACUCUUUCUACUUUUAUCAUAGUAUCAUUAAGGGCCAGUUCUUUAUUGCUUUUGAGAAGUGCUUUUGAGAAAUUUGAGUAUUUGAUAUUGCUGUCAAAAAGUGCUUUUGAAGAAUAAAAUGUCUGUUUUAGAUAUGAGAUUAUAAAGUAACAAAUAUGUAUUUAAAUAAUGUUCAAAUUAGUUAAUAUUAUGAUAUUUUAGCAAAAAUAUAAAAAAAUAAAUUAUUAUAACUUAUUGUUAGUAUUUUAAUAUAUAAUAUUAAUUUUAAAUAUUUCUAAGUAAUUAAUAUUAAUUAUUUAUAAAAUUUAAUUAGAAUAUAUAAACUAUAUUUAAAUAUUUAAAUAUAAAAAUUAAAUAUUUGUAAUUAGAUAUUGACACGAUUGUAUUAUUAUAAAAAUUAUUUUUAUUUUUAAUUAAUGCUUUUAACACAUUUGUAUUAUUUUAUUUUAAAAUGUAUUUGAAUAUAUAACUCAUAUUAUAUACUAACAUAACAUAGAAAACAUAAACCUAACGAAUUAAAAUAUUACAUAUAUUUGGAUUAAAGUUUUAAAAAGGGAUAAAAUUUAUAUACCAAAUAUAAAUACUAAAAAUUUGUCAAUAGCAUUUUCAAUUUAAAGUGAAUUCAGUAAACUAGAUGCUAUAUUUGAUAAGCAUAUGAAAAUUAUUUGGUUAUAUUCAAUAAAUGAUUUGGUUAAUAUAAUACUUAUAUUUGAUAAGCAUAUGAAAAUGAUUUGGUUAAUACAAUACUUAUAUUUGAUAAGCAUAUGAAAAUGAAAGUCGAGACUGUCUGAUGAAGAACGCAAAAAAGAAUAUUUCAUGGAAAGAAGAUUGUUAGGAUGAAUUCUUCAAUUCCAAUCAUUUAAAUAACGGGUCUCAGGAACCAAGCAAUAUGCCAAAUUUGGGGACAGUCCACAUCAUUAACAUUGCAUACUGUCUUAAGAUGAACAAGAAUGGAACUAAAGUGUCUACCGAGGAGUAACAUACUGCUAUUUUUGUAAAUAAAGUACAGAAAGUGUAUAAAUAGAUGGUUUGAAUAAUACACAUCCAGAAAAGAUCAUUGCCAAUAAGCCACUAACAAAGUAACCUCUUAAACAAAGAAAUAGUUCUUAGGUUCUACCUAAAUUUCAUGAUAAUGACAUAAAACUACAUCAAAGAUCAGAGUCAAACUUUGUUCAUAAGAACAUAAAAUAAAUCAUUGGCAAGAAACAAUUUUGCAGCAUCCACUGAUAGAUAUUGGGUCUAUCCAUCGGCCUUCUCUAAUAGGGCACUCAACCAUCCCAUGGUCAAGUGCGCAAGAAAAAAACUAAAGCAAAAACUAAAGCUGAUAUACUUGAAUGCUUUUCAUAUAAAUUUAAAAAAAAAAAAAAAACAAGAUGAAACAAAAAACAGAUCACAUCGAAUCCAUGAAAGAAUUUCCUGUAUAAUUUAAGCUUGCCAAAGCUAUAAAAUAUCUAACAAAGAAAAUUAAAAUUUGGUGCUUCAUCUGGAAGCUUCAUUGUGGCUGUUGUUUGGUUCAUAUUCUGGAGGACACCGUUUUCACCUUUACUAGAAAUUGCCUGAAAACCCAGCAAAAUGGUUCGGCAUGUGAUGAUUGUUUUUAAUAAAAUAUCUAAAUAACAACGACAACCAAUAUAUUUGCUUAACCUUCUUAUUAAGAGCACAAGCUUUAAAUUUGUUAACAGCUUCAUGUUUCUCCUCCUUUAAUGAAUUGAUGGACUUGAAGCUAUGUACGCAAAGCAAAGGAAAAAAGGGCUACUUCAGCAAGCAAAAUGAAACAAUCUCAAUGGUUAUAUAUCAAAAAGUUAAGAGAAUGCAUGCGUCAAGAGAAUAACUUUAAUUUUGGCUAUUAACCAAGUGAUAAUUCACCACAUGAGAAAAAAGAACAUCAAGCACUAGAAGGAAUGAAAGCUUUGUAGAAAAUAACUGAGUGAAGUUAAAAGCCAAAGUGACAUUACCUUCUGAGGCCUGUAUUUUCAUUUCUUGAAGUUGACACAUAACUAGGUACUUUCAUUGCCUGCAACCGAAGUCCCAACGAUUGAAAAAAGUAAUGACAUGUGGAAUCCAAAUAGAGUUAAACUUGAGAAAACACUUAAAUAGAAUACAGGUGCUGUAUGUAAAUAAAAUUUUAAACCCACAUGAUUAGAUGCAUGCUGCCUGGCUCUCUCGGAUGUCCUCAGGUGAAACAACUGCAGCAAUGAAACAAAGUAAACCUGUGUCAUGAAGUUAUCCAGAAAAGGCUCAUGCAGGAUAUUUCUCAAGACAAUGACAAGAAGGGCAAUCCUAAGAGGUGGCAAAUUAGUAAGUUUCUGUGGCUAUCAAUUACCUGAAACUCUGGUCGUUGAGGCAGGCUUUUCUUGGGAAGGGGCAAUGAGGGAGCCUGAAGAAUCUAUCAAAUCCAAAGAAAAAAUUGAGAUUACACAUUCAACAUCAAAGAUUCCUGAAACUUAUAACAAAAUUUAAGUUCCAGCAAAAAUAAUUUUUAAGUGCUAGAAGUACCAACCUUUUUGUUUAAGGGGAGUGCUUUAAACAAAUGAACAUUUGAUUUUGCAUUUUCAUCUGACUCUGCCUUACCUUUAGUUUCUAACAAUGGCAUAUCAGAAUAGAUAUUCAAUGGGAAGAAAAUGAAAAGUUUCUAACAAUUACCAGUACGAGCACACACCCUAAAACCAUCGGUGUGAGUAUAUAAGUAACAUUAGAAAGCAGCAAAUACAAGAACCAUCACAAGUGGAUGUGCAUUGUGCAUAGUGCAGAGACUGGAAACAAUGACUAAAAGUCUAAAACAAUCAACUACAAUGUUGUCUGUUGUAUUGAGACCAUAUUGGAGUUAUCCAACAUAAAACUCGAUUAUUGCGAAGUAAAAUCUUACAAACUGCUUAAAGAACCAAUUUCAUGAAGAAAUACGGGAUUAUGAACCCAAAGUACAUCAAAGAUUUGAUAUGUGCCCUCAACUAUACAAAAAUUAACAAUUAAGUGCCCACAAUAGACAUGAUAUCAUCUUCAAAGAAACCCAAUUUCCUAAAAGCUUCAAUUUGAGUUCCCAAUUCUCUUCACUCAUUGAACUCAACAUCCUAAUAGCAGCAAGAAACAUAUUUGACUUCCUAUCGAACCCCAAGGCAUCCGCCCUUUCAACAAACUGCUUAAUGCUCUCAGGUUUAAGCAAGAAAAAUCUAGGAAAGCUGAACACAUAUGAAACAAUUUGCGAAGAACAAAUCCCGCAAUUUCUCAAGAACUCUAUAUUAGGCAUCAUAGUCUUUUGCAAAUCAGAUUUGAGAAACCAAGCAGAAGUUUUCAAUAACUUAACAACAUCAUCAUUUGAUCCUAAAACAGUCUUUAAAUCGGAAAUAGAAGGUGCAAUCCUAUCAUCCACGCUUCUAGUCAAAAUCCAGGGAUCACUAGCUACAAUAUCAGCAACAUCAUGGGUUGAAAAUCCUAAAUCCUGGAAAAUCUUGAACUUGGGUUUAAUGGUUUAAUGGUUUAUCCCCUAUCCAAUCUUCAAUCAAUUUUGAAAAUCAAUCCCAGACAAACAAAAAUAUACAGAAGAAGAGAAGAAGAGAAGAAAAAGAUAAACUCACCGGCAGAGGGCAGAGGAACAAAGAACCGGCAGAGGGCAGAGAUGAAGGCAAAGAACCAGCAGAGGGCAGAGAGCAGUGAGCAAAGAAGGGCGUUCGUGUGUGGCUAAAAAAGUAAAUGAACCAGCCAAAAGCACUUUUUGGCUGAAAAGCUAAAAAAUUUUACUUCUCAUCUGCCCAAAAGCACUUCUCAGCUUCUGAGAAUUUGCUACCAAAUGAAGGCCGUUCUUCAUUGCUUUUCAAAGAAAAGCACUUUUCCAAGUAAAAGUCCGUUUCUUAAGCAAUGAAUAAGGCAGCCUAAAUGUUGCAGAGAAUUGACUAACCGCUUUACUAAAUCAAAUAAGCUGAAGCAGAUGAGUUGAAGUUCACUAUUUUUCGCCAAUUUAGCCUUCAAUGCCUGCAAAAAUUGAAUACAAAAUAUAUAAGACUCAUUUCUGUGAUCAUGUUGUUCAUGAGGACAAUCAGAUAUAUAAAAAAUAAAGCUGUGAAAUUUAUAAAUGUUUAAAAUGCGUUUCACACCUGUGGUUUGAGUGUGGAGAAAUCGAUACCAGAUUUUGCUGCUUAAAUUUCAAUACCUCGGGAUGACUGUUUCAAAAUCAAUUUGAACAAAAGGUAUGUGGGAAAUCUUGGACCACUCUCGUCCUUUACCCCUACUGCACCCUUCUUCUAGCAACGGGCAACGCUGAAUAGAUAGACGCUCAAGCGAGAGAAGCAUAUCUUUUUCUGGAAGAGAGGCGAGCUUAGGACAAUCAUAGAUGCCCAAUUGUUGAAGAGAGGUGAGGUGCUGUAAGCCCUUGGAGCACAUGAAUUCCAAAUUUUCAAAUCUACGGAUGCUGAUAUCGGUGAGAGAAGGAGGCAGCAUCAUUCCUAUCGCUUCUUCUGGAAAUGACACCACACGUGAGCAUCCUUCACCGCUGAUGUUGAGUUUUUGAAGAGAGGUGAGUCUGUAAAAUCCCCAUUCAACAAGUGAUGUAUAAAUUUUUGGUGCGUUUGAGAUUUGAAGUGAUGUGAGGUUGGUAGGGAAACCCUCUUCUGGAAAGGAUAUGUCAGCCGAACAAUUCGACACUGCUAAUUCUCGAAAGGAGGUGAAGUUGUUGAUGCACUUGGUAAGGGCUCUAAAAUUUUCACAACCCCCAAUUGAGAGAGCUCUGAGAUUUGUGGUGGGCAACCCACUUUCUUCCAAUGAAACAAGAUUUGGACAGCUAAAUAAUCGAAUCUCCUGAAGAUGGCUGAGCUUGUCUAAUCCCCGCGGUAAUGAUUUAAUUUUUUCAGCAUCAUGAAUGACAAUGCUUUCGAGAUCAGUGGUUUCAAGGAAGUCUUGGGCUAUGCAUUCCAACAUUGGGCAAUCCCCGAUAAAUAGCUGUUUAAGCAUUACGGGUAACUUGGCAUUUAAAAAUAAGCUACUUAGCUUUGAACAACAUCGAAUUUUGAGAUGUUGAAGCCGAUUGCAUAUAUCGUCCCUUGAUGAUAACCAUAUUAGAGAUGGACAGCAGCUUAUAUCUAAGCGCUCAAGAAGACAAGUGUUGCUACUCAUACUCUUAUUAGUAUUUUCUUUUUCAUCAACCAAAUAUUGCAAAUUCACGCAAUUCACAAUCCUCAGCUCUUUUAAAGCAGGAGGAAAGUUACUCUCUGCAAAACAAACCAAGCCGGGACAGUCAGCAAGUGUUAUUCUUGUAAUGAAUGGGAAAGCAUGUAAGGCUUCUGGUAGUCUAUUGAGCCUUUCACAAUCUCUUAUAAACAGAGAUUCAACACCUGGAAUCUUGUCAAGUUGCAAUCUCUCCUGCUCUGCUGCCAAAGAGACCAAUUGGGGACAAUUGACAAUCUCAAUGAAUCGGUGCCCGACUAAUCUUAACCCAAUUUGCGAUAAAGAUCCCAACUCCCAACCAGAGAUCUUAAAUGUUUCGGAGUUUGCAAAUCUCAACAUUAUCCUCUCUGCCGAAAUAUUACACUUUGAAAUAUUUGAAAGAGACACAUGUUUCAAAGAGGUAACCUUCUGUACAGACAAAGAACCUUCAUCCACCAAUUCUUCACACCCUGCAAUGCUUAAUUCACACAGCAAGGGAAAACUUGAAAUUGAAACUACCAGUCUCUGACACUCAUAGAUUUCAAGUUUCUGCAAGGAUUGAAGGAUGGUUGGCAACCUUCCCAACAAUAGAGGACAUUUUGUGAUUGAAAGAAAACGAAGGCUGGGGAAUUUCGAUACUUGCUCAUCAUCUUCAGAUAGGUCCCACUCCUCCCAAUUCAGCAUAUUGUCAAAGCACAAAGAUUCUAAUGAUGCAAAAGCAUUUGAUUGAUUUUCUCCUAACAACUCAGCACCAAUCUUGUGUACUUGACGCAAACCACCAAUUGAAAGAUCUUUUAACAACAACAACCUUCCAAUCCAUGGUAGAGAUUUGCAAUUUUGACAGUUGCGGAGCUCCAAUGACAACAUAUUUUUGAAGGAAGAAUCUGCAAUCCAAGAAGAGAAUUUUGCACCACCAAAAUUCUGAAUGACGAGUUGCUCAAGCUUUUUCGAAGGAUGAAGAGAAUCUAACACCCUUUCUUCAACUUCUUUUUUCCUUGUGUCCCGACUCCAUUUCAAUACCAAUCGAUCAAUCCCCUGCUUCUCAUUUAACUUGGCUUCCCCUGCAUCUUCACCAUUAACAUUCUCCAACCCAGAAAGACAAAAAGCACCUUUGAGGUUUGACAAAUAUUUCAAUUCUCUGAUACUAUGUCCAUCACCUUCCCCUAUGAUAAAAUUUGAUAACCUUUGAAGAUUCGUUAGCUUAUCAAUUCUGAAAGGAAUCCUUUCUAUUAAGUCAGCACCUCUGAUGUCGAGAUAAUGUAAGUUGACAAGAUUUCCCAUCUUUGAAGGUAACCUUUGAAGCUUCCAACACCGUCUCAAUAAUAAAGUUUCCAAAUGGUAAAGAGUGCACAAAGAAUCAGGUAGGCAUUUGAUAUCGGUGUUAGAAAAAUUCAAGUAGCGAAGAUGUUUUAAAUUUUCAAAAACAUCAGGUAACUCAUUUAUCUUAUACCCACUCAAAGAAAGCACCCUUAAGUAGCCAAGUCUUGGCAACAGAUCAAGCAAAACAACAUUAGUUAAAAAAGGCCCCCAAACAUAAUUUCUAGAAAAUAUUAAGGGUAGAAAAGUACGUAAUGAUUUCACUUGAUCAAAUGCUUCGAACUUCUUCACUGUGUCGUAUUCUCCAGCAAUAUAAGAAGAAUGUCGAGUGCGAUUCGAUAACUUUUGUUGCAUAUCACCCUCCUGUUUGGAGCAUAUGUCUCCCGCAACUACUUGAGCUAAAUCAUUGAUGAAGUCAUGCAUUACAAAUCGGGACUCAUCUUUACUGGAUGUCUGAAAAAAUGACCUUGACACUAGAUCUUGAAAAUAUUGAUUUCCAAUAUCUUUAACUUGAGGCAUAGCCUUUUGUUGCAAGAGACCUUCUGCUCUCCAUAACAGGAUAAUUUCUUCUUCUUCAAAUUCAUAAUCUUUAGGAAGUAUGGAGCAAUAUGCAAAACAUCGUUUCAAGUAUGACGGAAGAUGAUGGUAGCUUAAUCGCAAAGCUGGAAUUAUGCCACACUGCUCUUCUGGUAAGUUCCAUAUCUCACUCUCAUUUAUUCUUUCCCAUUCUCGAUGAUAUUUAACUGUGCGUAGCAAGCUUCCAAUAGCUUUUGCAGCCAAAGGUAAGCCAUUGCACCUUCUAAUAAUUUUCUCUCCAAUUUCUUUGAACUGGGGAUGUCCAUCGAAAUUUCUUGCUUUUAAUGCAUGCUGUGUAAAUAUGGAUAAACAAUCAUCAUCUGAUAGUUUAUCCAAAUGAAAAACUUUGAGGGGAUCCACAAUAGAUGAAACAAUUUGAAGACGAGUGGUUACAAUGAUAGUGGUCCCUGGUCCAAACGGAGACCGUAAGAUGGUCCAAUCAUUAUAAUUCUCGUUCCAAAUGUCAUCUAAAACAAGCAAGAAUCUUUUCCCAGACAACUUCUCCUUCAACUUAACUUGAAGUAAAUCCAAGUUACUGUAAUCACAUGACUCAGAAGUGAUGGACUGUAAAAUUGCCUUUGUUAUAGCAAUUGCAUCAAAAUUAUCAGAAACGCAUACCCAGGCCUUGAGAUCAAAAGACUCGUUGAUGGUGGCGUUAUUGUAAACAAGCUGAGCAAGAGUUGUUUUACCCAUCCCUCCCAUACCGACGAUGGAAAGGACUGAAACUCCAUUGGAGUUAUUACCUUUGAGCAACUCAAUCAUUUCUGUCUUCUCCUUGUGUCUGCCAACAUACUCCACAACUCCAUCCAGUACGGAAGUUGGUUGCAGCCUCGGUUGCUUUCCCUUGGAGGUUGCAGCUUGAGACAAAAUCUCACUCAACCCCAAACUACUUCUUCGUGUAGUCAAACUAUUCAGUGUAUCAGUGAUGUCUUUCACCUUCGUGAUCAUGGAAUUAUUAAACUGAAAAGAAGUGGGAGGGAAAAUACUACGAAUAAUCCUUUCAGGAAUGAAUUUCCGGAUCUUACUAGGUCUGGCUUGAGCUUGAGUGUCUUGGAGAUUGAGGCGUAACUCUUCAUAAGCGAACUCGUCCAAGAUGUCAUCCACAUCGUAAGCCAAGUCCUGGAGAUCCUCCAACCAUUUCUUCACACCCAUGUUCUUGAUCUGCUUCUCCUCUGCAUCGUCCAACACUGCUUGGAUAUCAGGCAAUAUGGACUGCCACUGCUUGAGCUGCUGGUGGAGUUGGUAGUGAUCAGCAACAAAGUUGAGUGCAGAGUCAAGCGAUUUGCCCACCAACAGGUCCAGGAACCCAGAAAGAGCAGCCUCUCCAAUGACAGACAUGGUGGAAUUGUGAGAAAUAAGGUGACAAGAGAAAUCAGCAAAGCCAAAAUGGAAAGCCAGGGAACAAAAAAGAAGGAAAGGGAAAUGGAAUCUGCAAAAUUAGAGAAAGUUGAAGAAAUUGGCACAAUAUCCUUGAAGCAUGUAAUAUAAUAAUACAGACUAUGAGGCAAUGAGUUGGAAGUCACUGGGUACAGAUAAAGAAGCUGCUUUUCGUUGAAUUUUGAUGCUCUUCUUUUCUCUUGCUUUUGGUCAUUAUCCUAAAUUGACCUUCACCGUAUAUGUAAUUUAAUUAAACAUCAAAAUAUUAUAUUCCUCACAACUUUAUCGCCAAAAUAUAGCCAACACCAAUACUCUAAAUUUUUGAAUCACAAAUAUUUACAUUAUUUAGCAUUUAGAAAAAAAAAUCCAAAAUUAAAUGAUAAUUUUUACAAUUUUAUAAUUUUAAUAGUCUGUAUCUUUAUAAAAUUUAAAAGAUUAAAUCAUAUUUUUAUCAUAUUUAGGGGAGCAAAGUAUAAUUUUUAUAUUUACUAAUUUAAAAUUUUAAAAUAUUUAAAGAGUCUAAAUGAAAAAUUUUCCAUUUUCGAGGACCUUGCCAACCCCCUAGCUACGCCCGAGAUUGGUUGUAGCUAUAUUGUUAAUUAACUUACUAUUUUACUAUUUAUAGUAUUAUUUAAACUUAUGACUAGUUGAUGUCACGAAUUAAUCGGGUACCAACUUGGUUAAAGAAAAUAUGAAAAUGUCACUCUAGUCUUUUUAUUAUAAAAAUAAAAAUAAAAAUUUGUGCAUGGGAUUUUGAACCCAUACCAAUUAUAUUAAUAAAUUAUUAAUUUACCAUUCAACUAAAACUUUAAUAUUUUUAUACAUUUUAAUUUUAUUAUGCACACUUUAUUGUUAAUUAAUUUCAAACCUUAUGCUUUAAUUAUUUAUUGCAUGUUAUAUUCAAACGCACACUUAUAUUCUAAAUAUAUGAUUCCCGAACAUACAUGUGUGAUAAGUAUACUAAUUGUAACCUGUCUUCCUAAUUGUUGUACUAAUUUAUGAUUUGCUUUCUUACUAGAUUUGUUAGCCAAACUCAAAUUACCUUCCUUUUAGAUCAAUUAAUUCACUUAAACCUAACUCAGUUACAUUUCUUUCUAGAGUGAUUAACCAAAAUAAUCGACCCAACCGAUUAAACGAGAUUGUUUCUAUUAUUAUAUUUAUGAAAUCGUGAUCGUUUAGUUAUUGGUAUUUUUUGUUGGGGUUAGGUUAAUUUAAUUUUCAAUUUUUCUAAACUAAAAUUUACAUCUAGAUUUUGAUGAUGAUUGCUUGUCCACAGUCCAUGGGUUUCAAUUAUACCAACCUAUUCAAUCUUCUUUUUUCCCUAAUGCAUGUGAGGUCUCUUUUUCUUUUCCUUAGCAAAGUAUUUAGGGUCUCUCUUUUUUUGUCAAAGUAAUCUUUAUCUUCAAUAAGAUAUCCAUUAAUCUUUUUAUGUAUUUCUAAUAUACAUGCUAUAUAUAGUAAAAUGAUAUAUAUAUAUAUAUAAUCUACACUAAAUAUGAGAAGAUUAUAAAUAUAAUAAUCUAUAAUUUUUAUUUAUUUAUGCCUUUUUCCAACUACGACGCUCUGAUUUUUUUUAAUUUCUUUUUCAUUUUUUAAUCAGUCCUAUUUUAUGCAAAUUCAGAUGUGUAUAUGAAGAUAUAAUUUCAUAUAUUAUUUAUCAUUCACAUUCAAAUCCAAUUAACAUAAACUUGAAGAUUCAUUUCUAACUCAUUGGUUAUUAUUUGUAAUUUCAUAGUUUAGUUGAAAUGACAAAGUUAAGACUUUGCAGAUAUGAGUAUCUUAAUAAUUUAUUUUGGAUUUAAACUAUCUUUUUUUAUAGAUUUUAUAUAAACACAUAAAUAAAAAGACAAAAAGCAAACUCAUAAUAUUAUUUGUACCAUUUAAAUAGAAACCACUUUUUUUAAGUUAUUUUUCAACUAAAUUGAUCUUUAGUUAAACUCGUGACUCCAACUCAAUUAGAUAAUUAAAUAUAGUAUAAAUAACAAAAAUAGAAUUGAAAUUGACAUACACGUAUGUUGUGUGUAGCCUUAAAUACUCCUCUUUCAUGGUGUUCACCUCAAUUCAAGGGCGGAGCUAAAAAAAUUUUUUAGAGGAGGCUGAAAUAAAGUUGUAUAUUUUUACGAUGCAAAAAUAACAUUUUCCUAUUUUAAUAGCGUAUAUCUUUAUAAUUUUUAAAGGGUUAUAUUAAAUUUUUUUUAUUCUUGAGGGGGUCAAAGUGUAAUUUUACCACAUACUAAUUUAAAAAAUUUAAAAUUAUAAAAGGACUAAAGGUGAAAUUUUCCAAUGUAGGGGGAAUCGGGCCACUGCCAGCCCCCUUAGCUCCACCCCUUCCUCAAUUCCUUGCAACUUCUGCUUAUGUAACAAAAAAAAAAUUAGAAAUAUAAUUAUUACUGUCGACUGAGUCUUAACUCAGUUGGCAUCAAUAAUAUUAAAAAAAAUUUUGAAACAUGCUUUUUCAUUUAAAAUAUAAAAAUUAAAAUAUAAUUAAAAAACUCACUCACCUCAUUAUCAUAGAAAAAUCUUCAUUCACCUUUUAGCUGUUUUUUUAUUGAAAAAGCCCCUCAUCAUUUGACUUCUUUUUUUUUUCUUCUUAAUUUUGAAUUUAUUGAAUGAUGAAUUUUUACUUGUAGAGUUUAUUAAUCAAUAUUUUAUUAAUUGAUGAAUAUUUUUAUAUUUAAAAUUUAUUUAUAUAAAUAUAUUAAAUAUUUUAAAAAAUAUCGAUAAAUUCGAAAUAGUACAUGAAAUAAACUAGUAUCAAUACGUACCGAUUUUCAUAGAAAAGUGGUGCAUCAACCAAUGUGGUAAUGGCUACCUUGAAAGUAACUAUGUGGCAUACUUGUUUGCAAAUAAAUGGGUUAAACCAUGUUGAGUCAGUAUUGUGGGUAGCUAUAAUGUUUGAUGCUUUGUUUUCUAUGAAUAUUUUGUUUUGAUGCUUUUGAUAUGUGCUGAUAUUUGAGGAUAAGUAUUGGGAUAUAUAUGACUACCUGAAUUUUUAUGAUUUGCUAUACUGUGGUUGUUGUAUUAAUAAAUUUAUGUUUUGGAUUGAGAAAAAAAAAUAAGAAAUUCAAAACACAAAAAAGAAAGUAGGGAAAAUGAACACAAUGAUAUACGUGGUUCGAGAAUAAUCCCUACAUCCUUGGGUAGAACUAAAAAUGAAAUUCACCAUUAAAAAAUAGAGAUUACAAUGGAAUUACGUCAUAAAAUAAAAUGCCUCGCCAAUAAUUAUCCACAAACUUGGAGCAAUUUUUUAAAUGAACAUCAGCUAUACACUUUCCGCGUUUUGAGAAAUACCUAGCAAUAAUAAAUAACAAGUGACCAACAAUCUCAAAAUGUCAAAAACAAUACUUUAUUUAAAGCAUCCUAGCCUCUUAUCAAUCAUCAAUGGAGACCUAAGACAGAUUCAAGAUUUGUGUAGAUAGAAAUAGUUGAUACUAAAAGCAUUAGAAACCAAAAUUACCACGCUGUGCCGGUGUUGUGCCCAUAAGCUGGUAUUGCCCUCUUUGGAUGCCCACCAUUCAAGGGUUUAUCACCCAAAGGUACGUACACCUCCCCAUUGGUACCAUUUGGCCUUUUAUCUGCCACCAAUUUCAUGGUUCCCAAAGCUGAACGAAAGUACAAGGCUAAAUAAAUAACAUAUUUGGCUCCUCGACUACAACUAUAUACCAAGCACCAAAAUAUGCUCCAACACAGGAAAGGAAUGUCAGAAGAACAAAUUCUCCAUAUAACCUAUACUUACCCUAUCAUAAACAUUGAUAACAUCACAAUUGAAGCCUUUCAAAGCAGGGGAAAUUCAUAAAAAGAUUGAUAGAAAAUAUGCCUAUCUAUCGGACCGGAAAGCUGAAAAGCAACAUUAAAAGUGUUGAAGUUAGUUCCCAUGCAACGAGUGUAGCAGCAAUCGUUGCCAUGCAACUCACAUGGAGCAAAGAAGCAGCACAUGCAGAUCGUGAUAAAACGCAGCAGCUGGAGCCUAUGAAUGCUGUCCAAAUUCAACCUAUUUUGUUGCUUUGUAACUUAGUUCUUUUAGAACUUAGUUGGUAAAUCUUUUGAUGUAAUUUUAGAUGUUGAUUGACUGAAAAUUCAGCAAAGCAACUAGUACAAGCUAGUUUAGCAAUUUUCAAUGUAUUAAGUGGUGUUAGGUAAGUGUUUAGGUAGUAUUUUGACUUGUAAGCUUAACUCAUGUUUGAUAUAUGUAAUGACAACUUGCCAAUACUUGGUUAAUGAAAAAAAUCAGUUUGUUUUUCAUUCAUAUACUCUCCAUUUUUCUGCUUUCAAUUCUGUUCUUUACAAAAAGGAAAAUUUCUGCUUUGUUUCUUCUCUAAGUCACGAGACUUGCUGAUUAAGCUAAAGCAAAAUCAGCUUGUGCACUGCCACUAACACCAACAAAAAGAGAGCUGCAAUGAAACUAGUUCCAAACUUCUACAGUAUAUAUAUCAUUUGAUUCAUUUAACUCAUACCACAAAGUCAAAAGCGAAAGAGUCCAGAUAUAGUGAGUCACUUAGUCACUGCUAUUUUUGGCUAGAAAAUAAAGUAUUUUUGUACCUCUAAGUAAAAGCGAAAUAAAUAAAGUCACAUAGUCAAUCACUUACACAGUGAGUUUGUUUUUGUCGCUCAAUCCACAUGACCAAAGAAGCAAUUCCUCAUCCAAGUGAAUUGAUGCAGCCUUUGAAAAGGUUCAUGGUCUGAGAAAUUCGGAGAACUAAGAAGGACAUCUUUGAGAUUUGGACAGAACAAUAUUUUGGGAGCUCUGUUGUCUUACAUGUGUUAAAUUGAGCUCUCUAAUGCCAUGUUGUAACGUGUCCUGUAUCCCUGCAUUAAUCCUGGAAAGAUCAAACUAUCACGUAAAAGACUUGUUCUUCUGAAAAACCAUUGGUUAAUAGUACUACGAAAUGUCAAAUAUUUCAAAUCUCUAAUAUGAAAACCAUCACCUUCCCCUAUAAUAAAAUCAGUUAACCUUUGAAGAUUCGUUAGUUUAUCAAUUCUAGAAGGAAUCCUUCCAAUUGAGUACACACCUCUUAUAUCAAGAUAAUGCAAGUUGACAAGAUUUCCCAUCUUUGAAGGUAGAUUUUUUUUCUAAUAAUUAGAAAUUAGUGAAUAAUAAUGAGUAGUUUUGUUUUUGAGAAAAAAAAUAAAGAAAUAGUUUUAAUUGAGAAAAUGAUUUUUUAAGAAAUGUUGAAAUGAUGUAAUCAUCUCUAUAUUUAACAAAAUAAUAACAUUAGAUUUUUCAUGCUUUUACCAAUUGAGUUUGUAUCGCUUGAUUUGAUGUACCAAAUUUAAUUAGACAUUUUAUCAUAGUAUAAAUAAUUAUCUUGUAAUUAUAUGUAUUCAAAUUAACUUAAUUUUUAAAUCCGUCGCCAAUCUUUAUAUUUUUUUCUCUCUUAUAAUUAUAUUUUUACAUAAUGUUUUUAUAAUAUAUGAUAUGAUCAUAAAUUAAACCCUUAAUUGUAGUUAUUAAGCUUGCAUUUUUUCCACUAAAGUCAAGAAAUUAUUUUUUUAUUGGGAAACAUUUUAUAUUAGUUAAUUGUGAGAAAACAUUUUUAUGUGAAAGUGUGUUUAACUAAUUAUAUUAUAGAAAAGUAUAUUUGAUAACAGGCUCAGUUUACAUGUUUAUUGUGCUUAAAUUUGAUAAAUUCUUUAAUGAGAUAUCAUUAAUUUUGGAUUUAUUAUUUGAUUUUUUGAUUAGGUGCAAAAGGCAAACUUAGAAAGUAAAAAAAGAGUCGGAAAUACAAGUUGUUGUAAAAGUUUGGGCCAUGAUCUAUCUUAUUUUUUUGGUACAAUAAUAUGGCAAAACUCGAACAACAAACACAAUUAACGUGACUCAAACCCAAACCACACCUGGGACAGUGAACACCUUUGACCAUUAAGCCAUCAUAUAGGGUUCGGAAAAGAAAAAGAGUACUUUUAAUUUUUGAUUAGGAUGAUAUUUUAAUUUUCUAGUAUUUUAUCUUUUGAUAUAUUUUUAGAUAACACUCUAAUAUUGGAUUAGAUUAAAAAAUUUAAGUAGGAUUAGGCAUUUUGAGUUUUAUAUAUAUUCUAAAAAGGACAGCAAUUCAAUUGCUUUCUUUUCUUCUCUGUUUCUAAUUCUGUUCUUUCUUUCUCUGGCACAAUAUUGUGCCGCCACGCCACCCUCCCUUUUUUUUUUCCUUUCUUUUAUUUGUUUAUUUCUUUUAUUUAAUUUUUGUUGAACCCUUUAUGCUAGUAUGCUUAAUUUCAUGAGUAAUUAAACUUCCCAUCUAGCUUUUAAGUCAAGAGUCGAUUUGGGAGAGAGUUAUACGAUUCAAAAUCGCACUUUAAAACUUUUAUUUCAAUAUUUGUUAUUUCUCUAGUUUAGGAGAUAGAUACUAUCGUCUCAUAAGGUUGUUUUGGCAUCAAAUGAGUUCAUUGCUUUGGUUUUAAUAAAGAAUCAAUACUAUCGAUUGUUGUAUUCGAUCUACCAAAAAACACAUUGGCGUGUCUAAUUAAGUGGUUGAUGUAAAUAGUACUUUAACAAAUAACUACAUGGAUGGUGAGGAUGAGUAAAAACUUUUAAUAUCAUCCAUAUCUUUUAUAGGUGGUGUAUUGCUCUGUAGUAUAUACACUUAAUGGGUUGGCCCAUAUGAGUGUGUAGUGGGGCAGCUUCUAUGAGAUCUUUGGCAAUCUUUAGAGCACUCAUAAAAAUUAGGCACGCGCAUGACCUAUUAGCACACAAUCGCAUUGAAGAAUGAAUCAUAAAUAUAAUGUGGUAAGUGAGAAGGUUAAUUUGGAAAUUAAAUAAUAAAUUCAAAAACUUAUUUCAUCAAUUAUUUAAGUAAAUCAUGUCUCAUUUGUUAAAAAUUCUGGUUCACAGUCCAAAUGACAAUAUGAUUAUUGCAAUAUAUCGAAACACUCACUUAAAUUUAUAACUUAAAUCUUUGAAAUAUGUGGGAGAUUAUUGGAAGUUUUCAUGUAUUUUAAAGAACUACAAAAAUCUCACAUUGCUAAAAAAAAUAAAAAAAAAUCUUGAGUCAUUAUACUUCUUUGAACUUAAUAAGAACCAGAUUGAGAGAGUAGACACGUGCACAUUCGAGCCUUUUUGUUUUUGGACAUGUUUUUUUAUUGAAGUUUUGAAAGUCAAAUAAAAGUGAACUUGUAACACCUAUAUGCUAAAUAUAAUUUAAUCGAUUGAAGCUAUUUUUAUUUAAGUUCAAAUUCAUUGAACCAUUUUCAAACUAGUUUUAGCUAAUUCAAUCAACUUACCUUUGCUAUAUUAAGCCAAUGAAAUCCAUAUAAAUACCAUGCACGGCAGUUUUCAAAGUUACUCAUUAGCUUUCACAUUCUCAUCUAAAUUUCUUCUGUAUUCUCUUUAGAAAAACCUUCCUCCUACAAUCUUAAUUGAGUGUUUAAUUGGCCGGCUCUUUAGAAAAGCCUUCAAGGAUAAUGAUAUUCAUGCCUCAAGCCGUGAUUCUUAUUUUCUAAACCUCCGAUUUCUUAAGAGAACGUCAAAGGCAACAACCAGUCAAAUUUUAAGUUCAAUUAAAUGAAUUCACAAACUUAUAGAGUUUAUUAUUUUUAUUUUAAUUAGUAUCAAAAGUUUUCAAUUCAAAUUUUAAUUUUGUUAUUCAAGCUUUAUCUCAAAUCAAGCUCAAGCUUUUAAAAGUGAAAUUUGAUUGAGCUUAAGCUAAAUUUUGAGUAUCGAAUUUUAAGUUAACUCAAAAUUUUGAAGUUAAGCUUUGACUUGAUUACACGGUUAGUGUAAAUCGUACAAAUGUAAAGUAUAAUAUAAUUAUAUAAAUUUUGAUACUAUAAUAAUUUCAAUUUUAAAAUUUUAACACAACUAUGGUCUAAAAUGUCCCAUUAUCAAGAAGCUUAGAAAUUGGAAGAUGCAGAUGAAAACAGAGCAUUCAAUUUGCUGAAUAAAUGUUGCAGAGAAUUAAGUAACCGCUUUAUUAAAUCAAAUAAGCUAUAGCAAAUCAGUUCAGUGCCUGCAAAAUUAAAUACAGAAUAUAUACGACUGACUGCUAUUGUCAUCUUGUUCCUGAGGACAGUCAGAUACAUGGAACUAAAGCAGCCAAUGUUUAAAACGGUUUCAUACCUGUGAAACAACAUAAGGUACGUGGGAAAUCUUGGACCACUCUCGUCCUUUGCCCCUAAAAGUGGACAUAAUUAAAAAGGACUUGUCUGUGAUAGAAAAUGGGGGGCUUUAAUUAAAUUACAACCAACAAGGAUGAACUCUGUUUCUGGAUUGAAAUAUUGGAAUUGGUAAUCAGUGACUUAUUCACUAAGAACUAACUAUUCUGUCACCUUAUAUUCUUCCUAUAAUUUCAGGUUUAAUCCUGUUGAUUUAUACAUUCAGUCCACUGCAAUAUGAACCCGUGAAAACCACACUAAAUGAAACUGACCGUUUAAGGAUCCCAUUCGUAUGAUGCAGCACUGCAAUGGGUAAUUAAACUGACUGUUCAAUCCUGUUUCUGUACACUAUGCUUCUUCAAAAUCAUGCCUAGCCGAACUCUCUGACAUUGUGGACCGCAAGCCCACUCAAGGACAUAUUGUUCUUCCCAUCUUUUACCAUGUUGAUCCCUCUGAGGUUCAGCAUCUUAGUGGGAGUAUCAAGACAUACUUUGAUGACCAUGAAUCAAAGAGGCCUGUUGAUGAAGUGAAGCGAUGGAAAACUGCCUUUGUUGAAGUCUGUAAAUUAAUUGGGUGGCAUAUAGGAGGAAAAUUCGACAAGCAACAAUAUAGUUUCUUUUUCAUUUUCUUAUAUAUUUAACUCUCUUUUUUUUGGUUUAUUUGCUAGGCUUGAAUUCGAGUACAUUAAAGAUAUUGUUGAAUAUGUUAUAAAAAGAAGAUGACAAAUAGCGAGUCUAAAAGUGCUUCUUAAGAAUUUGUUGGAAUAGAUGAUCAAUGAAGGAUGAUUUUGAGGCCAACUGAGGAAGAAGACAAUCCUAUAUUAGGAUGAUUUUGAGGCUGAUUGAUGAAGACGACAUUUGUUUGUGAGUUUUAUGUUUUGUCUUUGGGUUUGUGCUUGUUAAUUGUUGAAUGUUUCUCGCUCAAUAAGUUUGUAGGCGAUCCAACUUGAAAAUUAGGAUUAACACUGUGUGGUGCACAAAUUCUUGCGUGACCGUGUCUUGCUUGUUGAUGCUUGAAAAUUGAAAGAUUCUUAUUUAUGCUUAUGUUAAACGGGAUGCAUUUUUAAGAUUAGGGUAGGAUGUGAUUUUUGUGUGGCUAAUCUAAGUUUGAUAUUUUAAAGGUAAACUACCCGUUAAUUACUCUAAAUAAUGGUUGUUUCUAUUUCCUCACCUUAAGGCUUUUUUCUUUUUUCUUUUUAAAUUUGGUCUCUCUAAAAAGAAAUUGAUCAAAUUGAUCACCCCAUCAUUAAAGGGUAAAGGAAAGACUAAUGAUACAUUUCAUGUAUUGUUUUGGGUGACUAAAAUAGGAAAAAAAAAACACCUCCAUUUAAAGUGGCUAAAAGGUAGUUUACCCUAUUUUUAAAGUGAAUAUAAUUUUUUAUGAUUUUUAUAAAAUUUUACAAUUUCUUAUAUUUUUUCUAAUUUUUAAUAAAUUUUUAAUAUUUGAAUAUUUUACUAAAAUUUAAUAAUAUUGAUAACUUUUAUAAAUUUUUUUUCUAAUUUUUAAUAAAAACAAGGGCUUAAUUGUUUUUCUUGAAAAAGUCUAAGGGUGUACAUUUUGAAAGUUCAAGUACCCAAUUGAGUGAAAAAAAAAAGUAGGGGCUUAAUUGCUUUUUUUUUUUAAAAAGGUUUAAAGGCCUUUUUGAUGCAUUUUGAAAGUUCAAGUGCUCAAUUGAGUACAAAAAUUAUGGGUAAAGAAUAGAGAUUAUAAUGAACUCACAUCGUAAAUUAAAAUACCUCACUAUGAUAACUAUCCACAAACUUCGAGCAAGGUUGUAAAUGUUCAUCAACUACAGGGAUUUAAAUUGCGGUCGCGAUCGCGUUUUCGGUUGCGUCGCGUUUGUCGCGGUCGCGGACAUAACGGACGCUAUUGCAGUCACUGCGGGUAUCGCGGUCGUGAAUUUUUUUCAAAUUCACACAACUAACUGUAAAACAUAGUAAUUAUAAUUAUAAUUAUAAAAAGUCACUUUUAAUGAUUUUUAGAGUGUUUUCUAACACUUAUGAACAUUUAUUAAUAUGACAUGAGAACACAACUUUUAUAACCAUUAAUUAUUCUUAUAUUUAUUUACGAAUUUUCUAAGAAUGUUAUAUUAACUAAUAACAAAGUAAAAAAAAGGAAAUAUUAAACAUUUAUCAUAUUUAAUAAGUUUGAAAGUUUUUAUAGAUAAAAGAAUUGAGAAUUCAUAAAUUAGAGAUGUCUUCAAUAUUUCUUUUGACAGCUUUGAAGAUAGUGAAGAUAUAAAUAUGCUGCAAAAGGAAAAAAGGAAUAGAUAAAUUAAUGAAUAGAUUCUCAUUAAUUAUUCCUAUUUCCUACCACUUAUUCUCAUCUCAUUCUACUUUUAACAUGCUUCGAUUCUUCAUUAUCUUUUCAUAAAAUAUACUUCAUUCAUUUAUCUAAAGAUAUAUAUUAUUUUAAAUGUUUUAAUAUCAUCAAAAUUAAGAACAAUAACAAAAGAUUUCUUUAAAAAAAAACAUACCUUACAAAUAAUGAUAGUGGCACGAUUUAGUUUUCACCAAUUAGUGGAAUGACGAGGAAGAUCAAAUCCUUCACCUUCACUUUGGGAGCGUUCUUGACUUGAUUCUCUUGGCCUUUGUCCAAAAAUAUAUCCAAAAAAAGAAACAUUUUCACCUUGGUUUUCAUUCAAUUGAUAUGGAGGAUAUAUUUGAGGAUGAGGAUACAUGAAAGGUGGAGGUGGGUGAUACAUUGGUGGAGGAGGAUACAUUUGAGGCCGGUAUGGCACACCAUAAUUAGGAAAUGGUGGAUAACAACCAUAUGGUUGUGGAUAACCAUGUGAAGGUUGUUCUGGUGGAUAAAAACCUUGAGUGCUAGUAGAUGAAUCACUAUACCCAAGGUUACUAGAACUCGAUCUCCUACCACUGCCAGAUGAAGAGCCUAUAGAAGUAUGCUUCUUGCCUUUUCCCUUUGAUGGAGCUCUAGGUUCACUUCUAUCUCUCCUAGGUUCAGGAAACAUAUUUCCAUCAAACUCUGAUCUGUCACGAAAAUGUCCACCAGUGGUACCACCCCCAUAUUCUCCUCCAUACUAACUAGAAUACCGAAUUUCACCUCUAUCACCACUAUAUCCAUCAUCCUCAUCAAUUGGACUUAAACCACCACCAUCGGGUCCAUCGCCACUCUGACUUGGAGUUGAACUAGAACUUGAAUGAGACAAAAAUUGUUGUUGCGAUUGAUCAACAUCCAUUUCAUCAUCAGAGGUAUCCACAGGCAACACACCGGCAUUUUCACCAUCUAACAAUGGAUUCUCUUUCUCAUGAAGCCAUUCUGAUAGUGGAUCAACAUCUUCAAAGAUAUAAUCAAGGCUGAUAAGAUUAAAACUAGCAUUUAUAUCAUCAGUGCUCAUUCUUUGUUGAUGCCUCAUCUUAAGCCUCAUAUUAUAAUAGGUAAACACUAGUUUUUCAAGUUUUUUAUACUUUAACCUAUUUCUUGCCUUGGUGUGAAUAUAACUAAAUGUGCUCCAAUUUCGUUCGCAAUUUGAUGCUGAAGUUGUUUGACUAAGCACUUUAAUUGCUAAUUUUUGUAAUUCGGGAACACAUGUGCCGUAUAUCAUCCACCACUCAACUGCAUAAUAUUAUUUAAAUUUCAAAAUAACUUUAAAAUGUACAAUAUAAUUAAAUAAUAUAAAUUAAAUUAAAUAAUUUAAUUAACUGUUUACCCGAAUUCAUUUGCUUCCAAGAUCUUUGUGCUUGUGGAGUACCGAAUGUCUCAUGUUUAUCUCUAAAUAGUAACAACUGCAUAAAUAAAAGAUAGAGUAAAAAUAAAAAUAAAAAUUCUAUUUCAAAUGAUUUAACUAAGUUACAAAUAAUAGUAGUUGAAUCUAACCUGAUUAACCAUUCUGACUUGAGUAUCCAUAGAAGGUUCUAAUCUUUCAAUUACUGAUCGUGUACCUUCUAAUGUUUCUAUUAGUACAUUCUCAGAAUGCUCCAUCCCAAAUUGAAAUUGAGGGUUGAGAAAAUAACCUAAGUAUAAUUUAUAAGAAUAUCAUCAAAUAAUAAUAAUCUAAAGCUUAAAAUAAUAAAAUAUAAAAAUAGUUUUUAAUUAUAUGAAACAUUUUAUCUUACCAGCUGAAUGCAAGUCGGAAUGCAUAAAAUUCCAUCUAUUGUCAAUAAUCUUUUCAUACUCUGUGAAAUAUCGACAAUUUUGUUGAAUUGCUCGUUUAGCCCUAUCAACAGCCUCAUAAAUAAAGCCCAUCGUUGGUUUUUCAUCGCUAUCCACAAGUCUCAAUACUCUUACUAAGGGCUCAUAAACUUUUAUGAGGUCAUUGGCUUUUUUCCAAAAAUCUUUUCCCAAAACAAUUUUUUUGGCUUCAUAAGCAGGCCCUGACUUUUGCUUUCCCCAUUUUGAUUCUUUAAAUUCCUAUAUAUUCAUAAGAAAAAUUUUAAAAUAAUAUAAUUUAAAUUAUUUGGAACUAAUAAAAUCACUAAAGGUUACUAUAUUUAAGUAAUUAUAUUAACUAAUUAUAAAAUACUGACCUUUGAAUUAAACAUUUCUCUCAAACCUUGCUUUUGUCUUGUUAUCUCUUCUAGUUGAAUGAAAUGAGUUGAAAAUCGAGUAAGAGCGGGUUGAAGUAUUUGUUUCCCUUGUGUAUACUUCUUCAUCAAAUCAACAGUCCAAAUGUGAUUGUAUAUAAAGCAAGUCACUUUCUUUGCCUCAUCUAACACUUUUGCUACACUGGGCUUUUUCCCAAUAUCUUCAAGGCAUAAAUCUAAACAGUGAGCUGCACAUGAGGUCCAAUAUAGAUGUUGUCUUUUCAACAUUAAUUUUUUUCCAGCAGCUUUCAUUGCUGCCUCAUUAUCAGUCACUAUUUGGACAAUGUAAUUUUCUCCAAUUUCUUCUACAACUGAAUCUAACAAACGGUAGUAGAAUUCAGCAUCUCUACUACGGACACUUGAGACAUCUACCGAUUUCCAAAAAAUGGUUCCUUUACUGCAAUAAACAAAAAAAUUAAUGAUGUGCAUUUGAUUCAAACUGUUGGUCCAACCAUCACACAUUAGAGUUGCACCCAAUUCUUUCCAAUGAGUCUUUAGUACAUUUACCCAAUCAUGAACUCGUUGAUACUCUGACUCCAAAUACACAUCUGAAACCUUAUAAGGUGUUGGGAGCUUUACACCUUGUCCAACUUCUGUUGCCACUUGAAUUAAGUUAUACAACCAUGGAGAGCUUGCUAAUUGAAAAGGAAGUCUUUCAUAUAUUAUAAAUUUAGAUACCGCUUCACCUAUCUUCCUUCGAAAACUCUUUAAAAAAGAGUCAUUGACCUUUGGUUGCUUUGAACUUUUACUUCUAACCAAUUCAGGUAUAGCUCCCCUUAAGGUAAACUCAGACUCACCUGGAAUAGAUUUACUUGUUCUUUCUCUAUUAUGUUCUCUAGCUGAUCCAUGAGAAGAUCGCCCUUCUUCAUAAAUGUUAUCCCAACCACCAGUACUUCGUCUGAAUUCUUCCCUUCUAUGCCACUCGUGUUGUGAUUGGAUACUUUCUCGAGUUGCUUGCCUUAUAGCAGAAACCUCAUCAAUGAAUCCCUCGUGCUCAUCCUCCUCUUCUGUUAAUUGAGAUAAGAAUUCAUCUUUUCUCCUCUUUUUGUCUAUUUUCUUUGUGUUGCUUUCUUUUAGUACAUUCAUCAUACUUUCUCUAAUGACACCUGUUAAUAAAAUAAAAAUAAUUCACACUUUAUAUUAUUAUCAAUUAUAUAUAAUCUUUAUUGAUAAAUUUACAAUAACAUUUAAUAAUAAUAAUAAAGUAUCACAUACCAGUAACAUUAGGGCAUGGUGCAACAUUGCCAGUUUUAUGAGCAAUGUGCUCUUUAAAUCGUGUUAUUCCUCCUUUCACAACUUUACCACAAAGUUUACAGAUGAUACUUCCUCUCACAUUUGGCACUGGAGUUCCAAAGUGCCAACCUAUAUCAUUACUUGGUGCACCCUCCAAUCCUUUAGUCGGGAACUCUUCACGUGGUGGCAUGCUUUAUUUUUAUUUAUAUAAGAAACAUAAAAUUAUAUUUAGAAAUAUAAGCAACUCAUUACUUAUAUUAUCAACAAUAUAAUACCAAAAAAAGUAAACAAAAGUUAAAGCUAAAGUAAAGACCUAAUAUUAUAGAAAUAAAUAAAUAAAUAUUGUGUAAAACAAUUUAAUAAUAAUAAUAAUAAUAAUAAUAAUGGUAAUAAUAAUAAUAAUAAUAAUAAUAAUAAUAAUGGUAAUAAUAAUAAUAAUAAUAAUAAUAAUAAUAAUAAUAAUAAUGAUGAUGAUGAUGAUGAUGAUGAUGGUAUUAAUAAUAAUAAUAACAAUAAUAAAAAUCUUAAAAUUAAAAAUUAUAUGAAAGGAUAUACUAUAUAGAUAAAUAAAAUGAUAUAAUAAAAUAAAUGUAUUUAAAAUAUUUAGGUAAAUAAAUAUGAAAAGAAAUAUAAUUGAAAUAAUAAUGCAAAACUAAUUAAAUUUUAAUAAUAUGGUAAUAAUAACAAGUAAAUAAAUAAUAAAAUAAAAAAGGAAAAAUAAUAAUAGUAAUAGUAAUAUUAAAUUAAUUAAUUUAAUAAUAAAAUAGCAAAAAUAACAAAAACGGGACUAAAUCGAACUUAAAACAUAAAUUUGCGGCAAAUCUGAAAUAAAUAAAAAGAAAAAUGACCAAAUUGAAUGCACAAAUAACAAAAAUGGAUCAAAUGGGAAAUAAUCCCCAUCCUUCAAAACGCACAGCUUCAAGGUGGACCAAAUUGAAAUACGAAAUAAAUUAUAGGACAAAAUUAAAAAAGAAAUAAGCUUGAUUGUAAAUAAUAAAAAAUAGGAAGGGCUAAAAGCGUAAUUAACCCUUCCGUUAAAAACACGCAGAUCCUAGGAAACGGGUCGGGUAAGUGCGGGGUUAGGCCGAAACGGCGUCGUUUUGGUGCCAGAGUGGCCUGCCCAAAACGGCGUCGUUUUGAAGGCCUAUUUAAAUAAAAAAAAUUUCAGAAUCUUCAUUUCAGCCAUUCUUCAAAUAAUUUUUUUUCCUUUUUCUCUCAAUUCUCUUUUUUCUCAACCGUUGCCCAAAAUUCGGCCAUCGGCCACCGUGGCAGCCGCCGUUCACCGGCGACGGCGCUGCCGUGCACGGUGGUCAAAAAUUGCCGAAAACAUUUUAAACCCCCUUUUUUUUGUGUAGAAUAUAGAUUUAGGGAUAAAAAUCUCAAAAAAUCACUCUAUGUUGCAGAUUCAAGACAUGCAAGUACUUUACUUACUGGGUUAGUUUUCUACUUACUUGAUCUAUUGCUUUGCUUGCUGCCUGUGCCCUGUGGCUGUGUUUUUUGCCUUGCCGAAAUAUGGAGAAUGAAGAAAUAGAUUUUGCCUUUUCGUUUGCUUGUGAUUCUGUGAAAUGUGAGUUUGUGAGUCUGUGACUUACUGACUUGUAUUGUGAUUUGUGAGUGAGUUUUGAUUUUUUAAUUGACUUUCAGUCUUUUACUUUACUUUACUUUACUUUACUUUGUUAUUAUUGAAAGUUUGAAACUUGAUCGAUUUUGCAGGUUGGGAGGGAAUAUAUUCCCUUGCCUUUUGUUUUAUUAUCAAGUACAUUGAUUCAGUCUUUCUUCUCACUUUUCACUAUUCACUUCAAUAUUUCAUUCACCAGAAUCACCAUCCAUCUAUAGCACUUGAUUUUUUUUUUAAUUUACGGAAACGGAGAAUAACGAGAAUAGCGGCCCGUUAUUGCCGCAAUUGUCUGUUAUCCGUUAAAUUGCGGCCGCUAUCCACCGUUAUCGGUGUGAAUCCGCUUCCCUCCGUUAUUUUUAGCAAUAGCGGUUUCGAUCGGCGGCGCUACCGCUAUAUAACGGCCGCUAUUCUGAAAACGUUCUGUUAUUUGAAUCCCUGAUCAACUAUAUACUUUCCACAUUUUGGAAAAGACCUAGCCAUAAUAAUAACAUAUGAGCAACAUUUUCUCAAUCUCAAAAUGUAAAAAGCAAUACUGUACUAUCCUUUGAAGUUUGUUCUAAGAACAUUAGAAUGCUAAUCAUUAGAGUUUCAACUUAAGAUUAAACACAAAAAAUAUUGAAAAGUUUCAAGUACUAGGUGUAUUUUGAAAGAGUUGCUCCUAGGGCAUUUUCUCACCAUUCUUUUUCUUCCAUGGAUUCAAAUGCCUGUAAAAGAAAACCAAGGAAUAAAAAAUCAUAUCUACAACUCCAACAGAAGAGGGGAAUACCGGAAGAACAACCUCUACUUACCCUAUCAUAAACACUGGUAACAUCACUGUUGAAGCCUUUCAUAGCAGGGAAUCUUCAUAUAAAGAAUGAUUGAAAACCCACCGUGACACAUUUAGCUUUGAAGCUUCAGAUAGCUAGCCUAUCAAAAUGAUCAAAUAACAUAUCACAACUACCAUACAUGUGGUCUGAGCAUGAGAAAAUAAGGGAUGCUCUGAAAAAUUGGUGAUGAUCCAUCCAUCCAUAAUCACAACUGUUGACACCAUUUUUUGGAUGAAAAACGGGGUCGACUUGGGUUUUUUAAAAUGAAAACGAAACGGGAGUCGCCACCAACCCUUUUUGAUAAGGUGUGAUCGGAUCACCUUGAAAAACGGUUGUUUUUAAUAAACGAUUUAAUUUUAUUAAAACAACGGUUUUGGUCCACGAAAUUCAGAAAGACAGGCUCGGGAGUCGGUUACGCACGAGGAAGGAUUAGCACCCUCGAUACGCCCAAAAAUUGGUACCUAGUUGAUUAGUUAAUGUCUUAAUGUUGAAAAUUAAAAAUUUUAAAGAAAUAUAAAAUACGAUCCUUAAAAAAAAACUCGGAUGAUAUGGAUUGAAAAUCAAAAGGAUAUUUGGCUAUUCAGUUAAAUGAGAAAAAUCGACACCCAGCACCUUAGGGCACGUUUUCUCGAAUUUCCCAAACACAAAACAUUGCCUUAUUUUGAAUUUUUUCCUUAAAAGGAUAUUUAGCCAUUUGGUUGAAUGAGAAAAAUCGACACCCGCACCUUAGGGCACGUUUUCUCGAAUUUCCCAAACGCAAAACAUUGCCUUAUUUUAAAGUUUUUAAAAGGAUAUUUAGCCAUUUGGUUGAACGAAAAAAAUCGACACCCAGCACCUUAGGGCACGUUUUCUCGAAUUUUCCAAACGCAAAACAUUGCCUUAUUUUAAAGUUUUUAAAAGGAUAUUUAGCCAUUUGGUUGAACGAGAAAAAUCGACACCCAGCACCUUAGGGCACGUUUUCUCGAAUUUCCCAAACGCAAAACAUUGCCUUAUUUUAAAAUUUUUAAAAGGAUAUUUAGCCAUUUGGUUGAACGAGAAAAAUCGACACCGAGCACCUUAGGGCACGUUUUCUCGAAUUUCCCAAACGCAAAACAUUGCCUUAAUUUAAAAAUUUUAUUUUUGAUAAAUUCGAGUAAAAUAUAAGAUAAUGAUAAUAAUGAUAAUGUAAAUAACACAAGUAAAUAAGAAAAGAUAAAUAAAUAAGAUGGCAAAUAUAUAAUGAAAAGAAAUCAACAAAUAAAAGUAAAUAAAAAAUAAAAUUAAAACACUUAAAUAAAAUAAAAAUAAUAAUGAGCAUGUAAAUAAAUAAAUAAAUAAACACCAAAUGAAACAAUAAUAGUGAAUAACAUUAUAAUAUUUAUAUAUAUAGGUAUAUAUAAAAAUUAUGAAAAUAGAAGUAAUAAAAACAUAUAUAUGUAAAAAUAUGUAUUAUUUAUAAAAACUAGAAAUAUGUACAUGUAUUAUAAAUAUAUGCGUGUAUAAAUAAAUUAUAAAAAAGUAAGUGUAUAUGUAUACAUAUAUAUAUUUCAGAUAGUAUGUAUGUAAAUAUAUAGAAACAUAUAUGUAUAUAUAAAAAGAAAUACACGUAUAUAUAUAAGAACAAUUAUAAUAAUAAUAAUAAGUAAUAAUAUUACAAAAAUAACAAUAUGAUAUAAAAAUAUAAUAGUAAACAAAUAAAAAUAAAAAUAAAAUACAACAAUAAAACAGAUGGACUAAAUAGGGAUAAAAACAAAAGUACUGGGAAAAAUCGAAAUAAAAAACAAAAAAAUGACUAAAUUAAAAUGGAAACGAAAUCUCAGGGCCGAGAUAAAAAAUAAAACAGAGUAAGGGAUCAAAAUGUAAUGCGCGCGAAAAAUAGAGUGGCCAGUUAGGAAAUUAUCCCUAUUAAUCGAACGGCGCCGUUCUGCCAAGGCCCAGGCGCAUGGUUCCUGGACUAAAUUGAAACGGAUGCGAAAAUUUGUGGCCAAAAUUAUAAAAAAAAAAAGAAACCGCCUUGAACACACCACAAAAGUGGAGGUACUUAUUGCGAAAAUAUCCCAUUUGCAGAAAACGCGCGGAUCCUCCCCCUGGGCCGGGUCACCGCGCGGGUCAGAGACCAAAACGACGCCGUUUUCGGUCUCUGAACCCUAAGCUCAAACGGCGCCGUUUUAGGGGGGUUAUUUAAACCCAAAAUUUUUACAAAAAUUCAUUUUUUCUAGUUAAAAUAAAACAAACUCAAAAUCAUUCUCUUUUUUUCUCUGUUUCAAAAACGCUUCCCCUCCCCUUUUGAACCCGGCCACGGCGUCGGUGAGCUCGCACGAAGGCUUCACCGUAGCCUCGUCGCUGCUUCGCCUUGCCGGAGAAUAAAAAGAAAAGAGGGGCUACCCCCUUUUGCCCGUCUCUCCUCUGGCUUGGCCUAAACGAAACCCCGUAGGAUUUCUGUGGCUCCAUCGCAGAAGGGGUCAUCGACGGUGGCGCCGCAAGUGAAAGGUUCCUCCUUUCGACCCUUUUUUGAUUUUUUAGAGAAAUAAAUUCAAAUAAAACUUAAUAUAAAAGAAGACAGAGGAUUCAAGAGGCUUAAAUCACCUUGAAACUGUUUAUUGUUGUUUUUCUUUUUUUUGCUACUCUGUUUUUGCGUUACAUAAAUCGCUAGAAAAAAAAACAAAGUUACAUUUUGCUGGCUUUUAUAGCCGAUCUUCUAUUGCCUGCGUUCUUUGUUUGCUUGUUCUCUUCUUUGCAGGUGACGGCGCAAGUGGCGUGGUCGACGUGACUGUGGCGGUGGCGACGUGACGUUUGCGGCGACGAUGGCAGACCAAAGGUCAAUAGGUGCGGUGCUAGGGUUUCAGAAAAUCUAAAACCCUAGUCUGAAUUUGACACUUGAGCUUGGGUCUAUUGGCUGAAUUGGGUUACUGAUUUGGGCUUUGGUAGGUUUAGGGUUAAUUGGGCUUUAAUUUGGGUAGUGGGCUGGGUAAAAAUUUGGGCUGUACAGCUGCCCCUCUUUGCUCGUUGUCGUGUAAUGAUAGCAGAGCAAAGACUAAGAAAGACCAAUUUUUACCCGGUCUCAUCGAGGAAAUAGGAUUCGCCGUUGCGGCUUCAAUCUUUUAGUUGCAAUGUCGGGAAAGCAAGAUUCACUAUUGUAGCUCCAAUCUGUUCCACUGCACCGCUAGAGAAAGUAAGAUUCGCCAUUGUAGCUUCAAUCUUUUUAACUGCUGGGGAAGCAAGAUCCGCUGUUGUAGCUUUAAUCUGUUCCACUGCAACACUAGGAAAGUAAGAUCCGCUGUUGUAGCUUCAAUCUUUUUAAUUGCAAUGCCAGGGUAGUAAGAUCCGCUGUUGUAGCUUCAAUCUUUUGAAUUGCAAUGUCGGGGAAGUAAGACCCACUGUUGUAGCUUCAAUCUUUUGAAUUGCAAUGUCGGGGAAGUAAGAUUCGCCGUUGUAGCUUCAAUCUGCUCCACUGCAUAACUUGGGAAAGUAAGAUUCGCCGUUGUCGCUUCAAUCUUUUGAAUUGAAAUCUAUGGUUUCUUCGAUCUACUUUGCUGUCAACUUAGAAAAGCAAGACCUGGUAUCUUCAUUAAUCUGUUCUUUGGGGAACAUGAUCUAUAUGAACCUAUUUAUGCCUAAUGAUCAUGAUCAAAAUAUCCUGGCUAAAUGUGUAUGCACGAAUGUAAAAUGAUCUUUCAAUGUUUGAGUUGUUAAUGCUCCUUGCUCAAUAAGGCUUUAUUGCCAACACGUCCGAACACUAUCUUGUCCGGUUGGUAAUGCUCAUCUCUCACUUGGUCGGGUUGCCCCUAUUGUAAUCUUCAAGGUUCAAUCCACUGGAUGCAAAAUUUGAAUCACCUUUCUCCCUCUGUAACCUAAGGAUAGAAGGAUCUGGCCCUUUCUCGAUCCUCUAUUAUCAUACAGAAUGUGACACUCUUUGGUCUCCUACACCAUUCCCAGGGUGUCAUACUAACUGUUUAUGCACAAUCGCAAAAUUUUCUCUUCCGAGAAACCUCUUCUUAUCAUUUGGUGAUCAUUGAAGGUUUGUCACCAAUAUGACAUCUUGUCAUUUUGUUUAAUCCAUGUUUGGACAACAAAGUUUGAAAGGAUAGUCCUGACUUAGACUUUUCCCUUUUAGGUACUUUAAACUUGGUGUGUUCUAAACAACAGUCCGGUUUCAGGUUCCUUCAUUAUUUGGAAAUUUCUGGAUUAAUAUGCAAAACUCCUUUUGUUUGAACAUUCAGUCCAUCGAAAGAUUAUCGCAAUAGACAAACAAAAUGUUAUUGAGAACAAAUCUCGAAAUGAAUGAGUUAAUCAAAAUAACAAAUUUUGCUAAGAUAAGAUGAAAAGCAGACAAUAAACAAAAUGGAAUUUUAUUGGGGAACAAAGCUGGAAAUGAAUACAUUAAUCAAGACAACAAAUUUUGUCAAGAUUCAAAAUAUAAGGUGACAACAGAUGCCCCAGAUAUCGCAGCACGAGCUUCCCUGCAUAAGUUUUUCUAAAGAUCAUUUAAUAUGUGUUUAGGGAAUCUACAGUAUUUUGUCAAUACACCAAGAUGUCGCCUACCCUUUCUUGUGAUUCAGGUAUAGUAAGACCACCACAUGCGUCUUGAUCAAAAUUUUGAGUUGUUCCUUUCACCUCACGUUUCUUCAAAAUUUGAGCCGCCUUUUUCAGGUAUUCAACUCAAAUCCCUUUUGGUCUCAAGACGCCCAUUACGGGUUUUCACAUUGGCCUCUCCUUUUUUUUGAAGUGCCCCUUUUUCAAGUGAAAUAUUUCUUGACUGAAUCUGAGUUUACAAGAUUUGGCAGGCUUUUACCAUCCAUCUCGCUCAAGAUUAAAGCUCCUCCUGAAAAGGCCUUUUUUACCACAUAAGGACCUUCCCAAUUUGGCAUCCAUUUUCCUCUAAAAUCCUUUUGUAGAGGAAGAAUCUUUUUCAACACCAAGUCCCCCUCGUAAAAUUCUCUGGGACAAAUUUUUUUGUUAUAGGCUCGCAUCAUUCGUUUCUGAUACAUCUGACCGUGACGAAUAGCUUUUAACCUCUUUUCUUAUACCAAGUUUAGCUGGUCAUAUCGAGACUGAAUCCAUUCAGCCUCAUCUAACUUUAGUUCAGCUAAUAUUCGGAGGGAAGGGAUUUCAACUUCUAUGGGUAAAACUGCCUCCAUCCCAUAAACUAAAGAAAACGGCGUUGCCCCCGUAGAGGCCCUAACAGAGGUACGAUAUGCCAGAAGAGCGAAAGGUAAUUUCUCGUGCCAAUCUUUGUAGGUUUCAGUCAUUUUCCCCACAAUUUUUUUGAUAUUUUUAUUAGCUGCUUCCACAGCACCAUUCAUUUUUGGACGGUACGGUGACGAAUUGUGGUGUCUGAUCUUAAACUUACUACAAACUUUCGCUAUUAAGUUGUUGUUCAAGUUCAGCGCAUUAUCGGAUAUGAUCCUUUCAGGCAUCCCGUAUCGACAUAUGAUCUCUUUUUUCAGAAACUUGCUAACUGCUGACUUCGUGACAUUUGCAUACGAAACAGCCUCCACCCAUUUAGUGAAGUAAUCAAUAAUCACAAAGAUAAAACGAUGCCCAUUAGAAGCCUUUAGAGAUAUUGGCCCGAUAACAUCCAUUCCCCACAUGGAGAAAGGCCAUGGAGAAACCAUAACAUGAAGGGGUGACGGUGGUGCGUGCAUUUUGUCACCAUAAAUUUGGCACUUAUGGCACUUUUUGGGAUAAUUAAUGCAAUCCCCUUCCAUGGCAGACCAAUAAUACUCAGAUCUCAUAAUUUGUCUGGCCAUCGUAAAGCCGUUGGCAUGUGUUCCACAAAUACCUUCAUGUACUUCUUCCAAAAUUUUCUUGGCCUCAACAGCAUCCACAUACCUCAACAAUACUUGAUCUUUUCCCUUUUUAUACAAAAUUUCCCCAUCUAGGACAUAGUCAAUGGCUAAUCUCCUUAAUGUCUUCUUAUCAUUAUCCGUCGCACGGUCAGGGUACUCACGACUCUUCACAUAUCGCAAUAUGUCAUGAUACCAAGGGUGAUCAUCCUAUUCCCCUUCAUUGCCAAUGUUGCAACAAUGGGCUGGAGCCUAAUAAAUGUUGAUCUGGAUAGGCUUCAUAUCCUCUAGUUUGUUCACCUUAAACAUAGAAGCUAGGGUAGCCAAAGCAUCUGCCAUCUGAUUCCCAUAUCGUGGGAAAUAGCUAAAGGUGACAUUAUCAAAUUCCUCAAUCAAUUCCAUAACCAAUUUUCGAUAGCGGACUAACUUCGGGUCUCUUGUUUCCCAUUCCCCUUUGAGUUGGUAAAUUACUAAUGUAGAGUCCCCAUAUACCUCUAGCACCUUAAUUUUCCGCUCUAUGGCUGCUCGGAUGCCCAUAAUACAAGCUUCAUACUCAGCCAUGUUAUUUGUGCAAUCAAAAUCCAAUUUGCUAGUGAAAGGGUAAUGAUCUCCACUAGGGGACACGAGUACUGCCCCGAUUCUAUUGCCUAUAGCAUUUGAAGCUCUGUCAAAAUUUAGCUUCCAAGGACCACCUUCUUGGAAAUCUCUUUCUGUAGUUACAACAUACAUCAAAUCUUCAUUUGGGAAAUCAAAGUUCAAUGGUUCAUAAUCCUCCAGCGCUCUACUAGCCAGGAAGUCCGCUAUCGCACUCCUUUUGACCGCCUUCUGGUUCACAUAGACUAUGUCAAAUUCAGAUAGGAGAAUUUGCCAUCGGGCCAUUCUUCCAUUCAAAGCGGUUGAUUCCAUCAAGUAUUUCAGAGGGUCCAAUUUAGAAAUUAGCCAGGUUGUAUGGUACAACAUGUACUGUCUUAGUCUCCGAGUUGUCCAGAUCAGGGCACAACAUAACUUCUCGAUUGGCGAAUAUCUUGUUUUGCAUUCGGUGAACUUCUUGCUGAGAUAGUAGAUUGCUCUUUCUUUUCGUCCUGACUCAUCAUGUUGACCAAGCACGCAUCCCAUGGAAUUUUCAAAUACUGCUAAAUACAGUAUAAACGGUUUGUCUGGGCAAGGUGGCAUCAGCACUGGGGCGUUGGAUAAGUAAUGUUUGACUUUUUCAAAAGUUUUUUGACAUUCUUCAUCCCAUACACCUGGAUUAUGUUUCUUAAGGAGACGAAAUAUGGGGUCGCAUUUCUCGGUUAGCUGUGAGAUGAACCGAGCGAUAGAGUUCAGCCUUCCUAGAAAACCUCUAACCUCUUUUUGAGUAUACGGUGGACGUAAUUCUUGUAUUGCUCUUACUUUGUCAGGAUCAAUUUCAAUUCCUCUUUCACUGACCACGAACCCCAACAAUUUUCCUGAUCUGACCCCAAAUGUGCAUUUCGCUGGAUUUAGCUUUAGUUGAAAUUUUCUCAACCUCACAAAUAAUUUCUUAAGGACCUGCACAUGUUCCUCUUCUAUUAUAGAUUUUGCAAUCAUGUCAUCAACAUAGACUUCUAACUCCUUAUGCAUCAUAUCAUGGAACAGUGUUACCGUGGCCCUCUGGUACGUUGCCCCUGCAUUUUUCAACCCAAAUGGCAUUACCUUUUAACGAAAGGUUCUCCAUAAGGUUAUAAAUGUAGUUUUCUUCAGAUCCUCAGGAUGCAUCUUAAUUUGGUUGUAUCCAGAGAAACCGUCCAUGAAAGAAAACAGCGAAUGCCCUGCUGUGUUGUCCACCAAAGCGUCGAUAUGUGGCAAGGGAAAGUUAUCUUUUGGGCUAGCCUUAUUUAAAUCUCUAUAAUCUACACACAUUCGUACCUUUCCAUCUUUUUUAGGGACAGGAACAAUAUUGGCUACCCACUCAGAGUAUUUGACCACUUGCAGGAAUCCAGCGUCGAAUUGCUUUUGCACAUCCUCUUUUAUUUUUAAUAUAACAUCAGGCCUCAUUCUUCGGAGUUUUUGCUGAACUGGUUUGCAAUCUUCCUUUAUAGGAAGUCGGUGAACUACGAUGUCAGUACUUAACCCCGGCAUAUCUUGGUAUAACCAUGCGAAGACAUCUUUGAACUCUUGAAGCAAUUCAAUGAGGUCUUGUUUUACUUCUUCAGCUAUGCACGUGCCAAUCUUCACCAUUUUUCCCUCUUCCAAGGUCACUGUCUCUACCGUCUCUUCGUGAGGUAGGAUUUGUUUCUCUUCCUGCUCCACCAUCCUCAAUAAGUCCGGAGAUAGGUUGCACUCUAUGUUAUCUUCAAAAUCUUGAGAUUCCUCUAAACACAUAUCUCGUUCGAAAGGAUUUUCUAAGUCCAUAGUAAAGUCACUCAUGUCAUUGAUAUCUUGGGACCUGUUAUAUGUACCGAAGAAUGUACAGGGAAUGUAUGAAUUUAAGGAUUCUUAUUUAAUAUGGUCAUGAAUGAAAUGAAAGAAUGAUUUGGAAUAAAAACAUCCAAGAUAACUAUCCAUACGAAAGAAUGAAAAGAAUUUUAAAAGAAUAUAUACUCAAAAUGCGAAAAUAUAUUUCAUUGAAAUCACAAUGUUCAAAUAUAAGCCCAUUUCAUUUCACAAAAAGUUUCAUUUUCUCUAGGCUUAGAACAAUUAGCAUGUUUUGAAUAUUACUCUGAAAAAGCUCUAAAAACUUCAGGCAUUUCUUCUAUAGUCCAAUUGUUUAAAACACUCCCAGGUUCAACGGGAUAAAUGCCUGAUGUAUUUUCUUCUUCAGAUUUUUCUUCAAAUAUGGCAUUGAUGUUCAAGUUUCCUAACAUUUCCUCUGUGGUCUUCUUUCUUGGAGUUCUCAGCCCAAAAUACAUGGUUCCUCUUGAUACGAAGGUCCUGGAUAUGUGGGGGAAAGCCAACGGUUCCCAAUCAAUUUCUUUUCCGUUCAAACUCGCAUUCCUCCUCUCUUGUCUUUUCUCCAGCUCUUUCCUUCUUUGCUUAACAUUUGGCUUAAAUCCUAAACCAAAGCGGUCUCGUUUGUCCUUCACCACUGGUGCCUCUAUCCUUCCUUGAAGGCAUCUUCCCAGUCCUCUUCCAGGCACAGCUCCUUUUCCAAUUGUCAUUUGUAGUCCCAUUCUCGUGGCUCUAGAUAUGCUGGGCAUUGGGAUCCUCUUUCUCUCAAUAAUGAAGGUCGCAUUUACGAACUCUAAGGAUCGAAAGGAACAUUCGACCGCCUCAUCAUCUGUUUCCAAAUAUGGUGCGUCACUGGUUACUAAUGCAAUGAUAUCUUCCUCAGCGUUAAUCGUAAUUAAACGGCCUUCUGUUACCAAUUUCAACUUCUGGUGCAAUGAUGAAGGCACCACUCCUGCUGAAUGAAUCCAGGGUCUUCCCAACAAGUAGUUAUACGAAGGCUUGAUAUCCAUCACUGAGAAAUCCACCUCGUAUGUAUUUGGGCCAAUCAAUAGGGGUACUUCUAUUCUUCCCAUCACCUUCCUUUCGGUACCAUCAAAUGCUCUCACUAUGUUCUGACAUGAUUUCAUGUGAGAGCUAUCCAUCGGUAACCUUUUUAAGGUGGACAGGGGUAAAACAUUUAAUGUUGAUCCAUUAUCAAUUAGCACUCCCGCUAACGUACACUCCCCGCAGCGAGCAGUGAUAUGUAAUGCUUUGGUGGCUCCUCUUCCCCCGGCGGUAUUUCAUCAUCAUUAAAGAAAAUGAAAUUGUCGGUACUGAUAUUAUUAACCAAGCGGUCCAACUUAUUCAAUGAGAUAUUGUUAGCGACAUAAGUUUCAUUUAGAACCUUAAUCAACACAUUAUGAUGUAUUUCUGAACUUAUAAGCAACUCAAGCACCGAGAUACGAGCCGGUUGUUUAUGUAAUUGUUCUACCACGCUAUACUCGCUAUGUUUCAAGAAUUUUAGAAAUUCUCUAGCCUCAUUUUCAGUUACCGGCUGAUUGACACGCGGUUCAAUUUUGUCUGUUUUUAUUUUUCCCAACUCAACUGCUAAGGCUUUUCCUUUUCCCAAAUUCAUUCUUGCAUUUUUCAGAUCAUAGCGUUUUCCACUUCGUGUAUAGAAUCCUUCAUCCUCUCCUGAAGCGUUUACCAAGCUCUCUUUCCCUGGAAUUGUCACAUUGCAGUCGUAAUUCCAAGGAACCAUUUUGCUAUCCUCGUAAGGAAAGGAUACAGGUUAUUGGAUUAUGACCUUUGGUGCUAUUUGUAUUCCAGAUUCUUUGUUCAUUGGCUUUGAAAUGAUAACCACUGGGUGAUUAACCUCUUGGGCUUUCCCCGCAGAUCCUUCCUCUAAAGCAUAAACUUCUCCCUGUUCUAGUCCCUUGACCUCUUCAUAAAACUCCAUUUCUUUGUUAUCCAUUAAGCUCUGUACCAUGGUUCUGAACUCAGUGCAUUUUUGGAUGUCGUGGCCUUCUUUUGCGUGGAACUCACAAAACUUCCUAGCCCCUUCAGGCCUUUCUAUUGAAUUUUGCUUGAUGAGCCCUCUUUUCACCAUUUGUUUCCAAACCCAUUCAAGGGGGUCCUUAUCUUUGCUACGUUUGCUUUGACCCUCCUUCCUCCAUUCUCAGUUAUCACGUUCACCCCUUUAUCAUCAUGAUUGGGCAAUGGAUUCCCUGCUAUGUUUGGCCCUGAUGAGUCGCCAAUCUUUACGAUCCCCAAAUUGAUAAGUUUUUCAACUAACUUCUUGAAUGCAGUGCAGUUCUCAAUCAAAUGCCCCUUAGUCCCUGCGUGAUACUCGCAUUGGGCGUUUGCGUCAUACCACUUAGGGUAUGGAGGUUGCAUAGGUUUUAGGUAAAAAAUGGAGACCACAUGGGCAUCAAAUAGAUUUUGGUACAGCUCCUUGUAAGUUAUCGGUAUAGGUGUAAACUGGGGUCUUUCUGACUUCGAAUUAGACUCCUACCUCGGAGGGCCCUGAUGAUUGGUAGCUACUAUCUUUGGUGAGCCAACAGUGACAGACUUUGAAUAUCAUUUGCUGUAUGUAUUCACAUUAUUUAUCUCACCUUCCUUCUUCCUUGAGGUCGGUCUUCUAGAAUUUUCCCCCGCAUCUAUUUUACCACUUUUUACCGUAUUUUCGAUCAUUUCACCAGUCAUCACUAUGUCUGAGAAACUUUUAGUGGCACUUCCUAACAUAUGAUUGAUGAAUGGGGCCUUCAAAGUAUUGAUAAAGAGCAUUGUGGUUUCUUUUUCCAGUAGAGGCGGCUGGACUUGAGUUGCCACCUCCCUCCACCUCUGAGCGUACUGCCUGAAGCUUUCAUUUUGUUUCUUUUCCAUGUUUUGUAGGGUGAUCCUAUCGGGUGUUAUGUCCGAUAUGUGACUGUACUGUCUCAUGAAGGCCUGUGCCAAAUCUUUCCAAGAACUAAUUUGGGUACGACUCAGCUGAUUGUACCAUUUGGCAGCAGCUCCUAUCAGACUGUCCUGGAAACAGUGAAUUAACAAUUGAUCAUUGUCAAUAUAUCCCGUCAUCCUCCGAUAGAACAUGGUGAUGUGGGCUUCGGGACAGCUAGUUCCAUUGUACUUCUCGAAUUCGAGCAUUUUAAACUUAUGCGGAAGAACUAAGUCAGGGACCAAACUCAAGUCUUUAGCAUCGAUUUUGCAACGGUAAUCGGCAUUUUCCAUUGCUCUAAACUUUUCUUCUAACCACCUACACCUAUCUUCAAGUUGUUUCGGCAAAUCUACUCUUGCCUUUUCUGCUUCCGUUACAUCAUUCAAAUCAAGAACAACAGGGUUAGCCGGAUUAUCUCCCGGGUUAGAACCUGAACCUAUCUAAAAAUUUAUUGGUGCCAUGGUGUCAACCUGGCAUUGAGGCCUAAUGUGAACAUGCACUCCUUGUUGACACAUAUCCGGUUGUGCCUGAGUGCUCGUUGGGGCAAAACUUGGAGGAUAAACAGGGUCCUCCUGAUCGACUCCCGAAUUGGUAGCAGGGCCUUUUCCUUUGUCAGCCAAUAAUUGUGUCAAUUGGCUCAUCAUGGCUCUUUGAGAUUCCAGCACAUCUAAUUGUUCUUGCAUUUUAUCUUGUAUUUCUUUCUGCGUUUGUUCCAAUCGUUCUAUCUGUUGAUCCAUUGCUUUUGUUUUCUUUCUUGUACCGUAAGGGUGUUCCAGGAUAAUUGAAAUAAUUUUAUUUAAUUAGGGUCCUUUAAUGGUUGUUAAUGCAUAUGAUGUGAUGCAAUGCAUGAAAUGAAUGCAAAAAGAAAAGGCAUUGACUCUGAUUCAAUUCCAUUUAGAAAACUUUACUAGAAAAAUAAAAUUCUUUACAUAAGAUAGAUUACAUAUACGGUUUUGCCCUAAUGCUCAAAAUUCUAAUCUUCUUAAGUAAUGAAGCUAGCUCUUUUCCUCGGCUUGAUUCCAGCUCAUAUUUUACACUUAGCAUAUCAGCUUGCACUGCCAGCGUUUGCAAGUGAUCCGCAACCUCUCGAAUUUGAGUCACAGCUUCUCCCAUAAUGUGAUCCCUAUCUCUAACUUGGUUUUGAAAGUAGUGCAACUGCUCAUUUUGACGGUCUUCAUUAGCUUCCAAAUACUCGAUCCGGAUCUCGCAAUUUCGCAAUGCUGCUUCUAACUCUUCAGUUCUUUCUUUCAUUUCUUCAAUUCUAUUUAGGCUUGCCCUCAAUUCCAUCACAGAGUUCCGAUUUUAGUGCCGAUGAAGAGAUCCUUCUAAUUCAGUCAUUCUGUUCUCUAGCUCCCCUUUUUCCUUUUGAUUUUCUGACAAAUUCCUCUUUAGAGUCUCGUUAUGUGCUUAAAUUUCUUGGAAUCUCCUUUCCCAUUCAUCAGCUUUAUUCUUUUCUUCUUGAAUCUCCUUGCGCCACUGCUCAGAAGUCUUUCCCAACCCGGCAGUCCUCAUUGAUAAUCGCAACUUCUUAUAAUCUGUUUUCAAACUAUCAAGAUCUUCUUCAGCCCUAGCUUUCCCUUUUCUUAAUCGCUCCGUCUCGAGCUUCUGAACAUCUGUAUCCAAUUUUAAGUUCAUUUUUUCCUCCUCUAUUUGCUCUAUCUUCUUUUCUAACUCUGCAUUUCUUUCUUGAAAGUCUUGUUUUAAUAUUUCUAGUUCAGAAGGGACGACCCGUAAAUGCUCCUCUAUUGAUUGACUGCCUUCGCGACUCGGCUCAAGAAUAUUGUCGUUAAUCCUCUUACUCCGCUACCCAUGAUAUCUAGGAGUUAUCAUUGCCCCAACGGUGAAUCUUUUCAUCCGGUGAGUUUGCUUCCAAGCGUUGGACAUUUCUCGAAUCUUUCCUUUGUAGUUAUUACUCCCAUAAGCAAACUCACACUCGGUCAGUCCUUGCAUUGCCGGUAUGAACUGACUUGAUCUAUAUUGUCUUAAUAUGAGCAGAGGGGUAUAUCCGACAACUCCCCAAAUUCUGAGUAAAGGAACCCAAUCGAAGUCUCCACAUCGAUACAAAAUCUUGCCAGGCACUAUCCAAGGAGCUUUCCAUUCAACAUCCUCAUCUCGGAGAUUUUGAAGGAUUGCCAUCCACCUUUCUCCAGUAAUAUUGUCACGUAUUGAUGUUGCUGCUGAUUCUUUCAAAGGAGAGUACUUUUCAGAGAACACUUUGUAAGAAACCUUAUCCACCUUCCAGAAGUGACUAUGGAACCAAACUAAUAGAAGCUGUGCACAACCAAUAAAUCUUCCUUCACCUGCUCUCUGGCAUGCACUCAAAGAUCUGAAUGUUUCAGCCAAAAUUGCUGGGACUGGUGUAAUCCCCCUAUCAAGUUGAUUGAACAAAUCUGUAACCGUUUCAUCAAUAUGUCUUAAUGCUUUGGGGAAAAUAACCAACCCAUAGAUACUCAAGGCGAGGACAUCAACUUUCUUCUUUGUAUCAGGGUGUGCCGAAAUCUAAUCUCGCAAACUUCUCCAAGGGAUACAUUUAUUUUCCCCUUUUUGUUUGAUAUGUGCCGUAACCCAUUGCUCGCUCAUUCCGGUAAUUUUUGCUAACUUCCUUGUAAAAGUGAGAACAUUGGCAGUUCUAGAAUAAACUUUAUCUACUUGGAUUCUUGGACAACGAAGUAAAGUUCUAUACUCCUCCACAGUAGGCACUAUGUCUACCUCCCCAAAGGUGAAGCAGCUAUAAGCAGAAUUCCAAAAUUGGGCCAGAGCUCGAAAUAAAUGCUCAUCCACCUUGAUAUCGAGCAAGUAGGGCAGAUCACCAUAAUUACAGCAAAACAACUGUUUGACCUCGUCAUCCCAUUGAGCCCAAAUUUUUUUCAACUCUUGGAGAUCAUUCUAAGUUACGUUGAUACAAGUGAAGUCCCAUAAUUCUGAUGUGUAUCCCUCCGUCAAACUAUCACCUUUCUCAAGUUGUGUUUUUUCUGACCAUGUUUGGACAACCGAAUUAUUAUCCGCCUUAUCAGGAAAUUCGUUUUCCAUGAUGAGCUUUCUGUCUAGAAAUCGAAUGUGAAUCAACGCCUUUUGUAAUGAAAUGCCAUGCAGUUGAGAUGUCAUGCAUCCAAAGUAAAAUAGCAAAGAUUAGUAUCAGAUAUAAACAUAUAAUCCAAAACAAUUCAGAAAGAUUAAAAAUACAUAUCAGGGUAUCACUAAGGUUUGGUGUAGUUCUACCUAGGGUGAGUUCCUAAGGUUCACUACAUGCGGUUUGGCUCUAAAGUAAGGGUACCCAAACCAGCAGAUUCCUCGAUCUUCACCCAUUAUAGGCUCAUAUAGACCGAGUUUGGUUCAGGGGAAUACAUUUAGCUAUGGCUGCACGGAGAUGAAAAUCUCACGAAGACAUAGGUACGGAUGUAUCCCGAAAGUGAUCCACUAUCCUGGACGGAGGUGAAAACCUCACGAAGGACUAGCUUCUCACUCCUACUUAAAAAGGUGUGACCAACGGUCAUGCAAUGCAAUGCCAAAAGAUAUAAAAAUUUAAAAUACAAAACAUGAUGAAAACUCAAAACAAAUGAGAUGCAAUGAGAGGAUCGUAUAUUUAAAUCACAUUUUCAACUUUCGACAAAAAGACAAGAAAUAAUCAAAUCGUGGCUUGACUCUCUUAUUUAUGUCCCCAGCGGAGUCGCCAAGCUGUUGACACCAUUUUUUGGAUGAAAAACGGGGUCGACUUGCGUUUUCGUUUUCAUUUUUCAAAACCCAAGUCGACCCCAUUUUCAAUCAAAAAAAUGGUGUCAACAACAACGAUUGCGCUCAAGCGAUGCAUCAACAAGAGAAGUGCACACAUAAACGUACAAAAUACCGAGGAAAGCCAACCAAACAUCCUUCAAUAGUACAAUGAAAUGUCAAACGUUUUUAACUAAAUCCCAUUCCCAUAUACAUAGGCAUAACAAUUGCAGUUGAGCGAUUGCUCCAAACCCAUGCCAUAUAGUACAAAGCAAAGGAUCCUUAAAGACGAGGACGAUAUAAGAGUUAAGCAAACAUAUAUGCAAAAAAAGCGUAGAAAUCAGAAGCUGCCGAUGAUAACAGAACAUUAAAAUUGCUUAAUAAAUGUUCCCGAUGAAAAAUAUAUGAAUAUACGCAUAAAUUUAGUAUUGCUAUUAAAUAUCAUGAGCACUGCACAAAUUUAGCCCAAUUUAAAGGAAAAAAAAUUCUCUAAAUUUCCAUUUUAUUUGACAUAUCUAGAUUUGUAAUUUGAAACUUUGUUCUUAUUCACAUGAAUUAAAAUUUGAUCUAAUCUGAUUUUAUCAUUAAAAAUGAGCCAACAGCCUAAAUCUUAAUUAAGACGAAUAAAAGCCUAAUCAUGUGGUUUUGUGAGAAAUUGACACUAGGGUAAUCUAAAAUUAAACGCUUGAUGAUCUCUCGACUCUCUUAGCUUCUUGCUAGGGAAUUAGAUUACUCUCACACACUAACACACACAUUUCCCCUAAGGUAGCUACGCUAAUUUUCUUGAAUUCCCUUCUUAAUCGCAGCUCUUAUUUCUAGUGAUUUUAUCCCUACAGAUUGAUCAACCAAUCAUGCUAAAUCGCUAAAUAAAAUACCAUACUGGCUGUGUGAAAUGCUGCCAUCGGAGGCAUCCUUCGCGAUCAUAAUAGAACUUCCUUGCUGAUUUUUUUUAAGGCCAUUAGAAAAGAAAAUAUAACAAGAGAGCACAAAUUGGUUCGGGGAUAUUAUUCCUUAGAACAACAGGCAGAACCAAGAAUGAAAAUUACAUCAUAAAAUAAAAUACCUCACCACAAUAACCAUUCACAAACUUUGAGCAAGGUUCUAAACGGUCAUCGACGGUAGACUUUGCAACACUAGUACCAUUUGGCUUUCAACCCCCCAUCAAAUUUUGUGGUUCUCAAAGCUGAGUGAAUGUAGAAUGCUAAAUAAAUAACAGAUUUGGCUCCUCCACUUCUUUUUAUGAAGGUUCCCUUGAAAUGCCCUAUAAGAGUAUGAUAAUGCUAAUCAUUAGAGUUUCGGUUUAUAAAUUAAACAAAAAAUGAAAAGUUUCAAGUAGCAUUAGUAUUUAGAAAGGGUUAAUUCAAGGCCAUUUUCUCACCAAUUUUUCUACCUUGAUUCCACACAAUCCACAUGAUCAAAAAUGUAAAUUCUCAUCAAGUGAAUUGAUACAUCUCAAAAGUAGCCUUCUAAUGAUUUCGUUGUGUUAAUGCCUAAAUUGAGCUCUCUAAUGCCAUGCCGUACUGUGUAGUGUAUCCUUCCUGUAAGGAUCAAUACCAUGUUCAUAGUGGUUAUGAAAUCUGUUGACACUGAUAUCCUUACUCAAUAACCACGAAGAUCUGUAAACUAUUACGUAAAGACUUAUUCUUCUAGAAAACCUUUGGGUAAUAUUUGACAUAGAUAUGUAAAACAGUUUAUAAAAUUUUGCAUGUAUUUAAAAGAUCAUAUCUUUUAUACACGUCAAGGUGAAACUAAGAGACAUGAUUUAAAUAGUUCACUCGCACUCACUUUUAAAGGUGGAUUCUUGAGGUUUUAGCCAAAAUUAAAAAAGCUUGAGUUCAAUUUAACAACUAGGACUCGAAGCUUGACUCAAGUUAGAUCGAGUUUCAGUUUUAAUGUAGAGCUCGAUUUUGAUAUAAAAAUUUACUUAAGUUCGUUAUAUUAGAUUCGUUUACCAAAUAAAAUGAAAAAAAAAGGGUCAAAUUCUAUUAUUAAUUCUUACACUAUGUAUAAGUCGUGGAUUUAGUUUAUGUAUUUUAAUUUGGUUAUUUUUAGUCACUAUACUUUUCAAAAUUUAAAAUUUCAAUCUUCAUCAAACAGUAACCGUUAAAUUUAUUAAGUUAAAUUAUACUAUUUUCAUAAAUAUGAUAUAAAAAAAUAUAUUAUCAUAUUAGCUUGUAAUUUUCAUAUAAUACUCAUAAAAAAGUCACAUUAUUUUAGUUAAUGAAUUUAACUGCUAUCAUUUGAGUCAAGAUUGAAAUAUCAAAUUCAAAAAGCAUAAAGACUAAAAACGAUCAAAUUGACGACCAAAUUAAAGUACAUGAACUAAACUUACAACUUAUGAGCAAUAUAAGGACUAAUAGUGAAAUUUGAACAAAAGAAAACAUGAAAUGAAACAUGCAUACAUACAUACCCUAAGUGCAAGGAAGUGUCUGAGAGAUGGUUGUCAUCAUCUGAUGCACUAUUAUUAUCAUCAGCCUUUGAAUUAUUUGGUGAAUGAUCAAGUCUUCUUUCCAGCAAUGGAUUCAAUUCUAGUAUAUUCGAGCUCCUUUUUUGUCUCAAUUCCUCAACCUUAAAACCACAUUCAAUAAUCAACAAAAUGCAAUAUUACAAACUCCAAAAUCUUAAUAUUAUAUAUAAGCUAAACUACACUGUUAAUCACUCAAUUAUCGGUAAGUUUAUUUUUUGAUUACGCAAUUAUAAAAAGUAACAAAAUUGUCAUGAUUUUGUCCUUUUUGUCAUCCGUUAUUAAAUGGUUAAUGGAAAGAUUACGUGGCAGGUUUUAAAAUUGGCAUUAUAGCGAUUUUAACCCUCAACAUUUAUACAUUGUGUCAAUUUAGUCUUGACUCUAAAAAGUUCAUCUUUCAACAUUUACAUGUAGUGUAAUUUAGUCUUUUUUACAAUUUUACUUUUUUUGUGUGUGUGUGUGACCUUUUAACAACUUAAAAAGCUAAAAAAAUAAAAUUAUCCAGCUAAAUUUUAUCGAAAAUAUAUUAAAUUAACACAUAAUGUCACAAAGAAAAGCAAAAGUACUGCAAAAAAAAAAAGAGACUAAAUUAUAGAAUGUGUAAAUGUUGAGGGUUAAUUUUUUUAGAAUGAAGAAUAAAUUGACACAGUAUAAAUAUCGAGAGUUAAAAUUGCUAUUAUACUAAUUUUAAAAACCAUCAAAUUACCAUUCUGUUAGUGAUUUAACUAUUGGUGACAAAAAAGAUUGAAUAGUUGGAUGAUUAACAAUAUAGUUUACUCUUAUAUAUAUAUAUAUAUAUAUGUAAAUACAUGUGUGUAUGUGUGUAGCAGUUGAUUAUACGUAUGACCUACGUACCUGUUUGCGUAGAUCUUCAUUCUCCAUUACGGUCUUCUGUUCCUGAAAAUAUACAAAUAUUAAACCAGAAAUCAUUAGUAUUAAAUGUUAAUUACAAUUAUUUGAUUGCUAAACAUAUAUGAUUCCUUAUUCUCUUUCAAAAGUAAAUAUUUAUACUCUAAUGUGUAUCUAUAAUUUUGUCUUUUAAGUCGAGGUUUUUAGAUAUUCAGAUGUAUAUAGUGGGUAAUUAAGCAUUGGAUUGACAUACGAUAACCUUUUAUGUCAAAUGUUCAAAUCUGGACUUGAACUAAGAAUAAGUGUCAAAUAUCGAUAUAUGUUAAUAUAGAUGUGAUGAAUUUUUUAAAAUCGAGAAACAUUCCUCUUAUAUAAAUAUUCAAAUUUGUGUCAAACACGUAUAUAAAACAUAAUUACUUUAGAAAAAAUUGGAUUAAUAUGGGGAUAUAAAAUGUACCUGUAAUCGAGAUCUUUUAAGCUGCUCCAUUAGAAUUUGCUCCUACAACAAUAAAACUUCAGUUUCUAGAGCUCACAAUUAGGCUCCUAAUGAAAUUAUUUUAAGUUUGUGUUUGUAGGAGAGUUACUAAAUAUACUAAAAUUAUGUUUGUUUGGAGUUAAUAUUGAUUAAAAUUAGAGAUAAAUUAUGGACGAAAAUAUUAAUUUAUUUUAAAUGAUGAAGCAUAGCAACUUUAAUAAUAUAAAUUAUUGUGAACGCUUAGUUGAAAUGACAAAAUUAAGGUUUUGAAGCUACGGGUAUCCUAAUGAUUUAUUUUGAAUUUAAACUAUUUUUUUAUAGAUUUUAUAUAAAUACAUAAAUGAAAAAUAAAAAAGCAAACUCAUAAUAUUAUUUGUCAUCUUUUAAAUAAAAACCCUUUUUUAAAGUUAUUUUUCAACUAAAUUGAUCUUUAGUUAAACUUGUGGCUUCAACUUAGUUAGAUAACUAUAUAUAUAGUAUAAUUAACAAACAAUAAAAUUGAAAUUCACAUACAUGUAUGCUGUGUGUAGCCUUAAAUACUCCUGUUUCAUGGUGUUCACUUCAAUUCCUUGCAACUUCUGUUUUUUUAACAAAAAAAAAUGCACACACAAUAUUAGAAAUAUAAUUAUUAUUUUCAAUCGAGUCUUAAUUCUGUUGACACCAUUUUUUGGAUGGAAAACGGGGUCGACUUGGGUUUUGAAAAUGAAAACAAAAACGGGAGUCGCCACCAAUCCUUUUUGAUGAGGUGUGAUUGGGUCACCUCGAAGGGUAGUUGUUUUUAAUAAAAGGUUUGAUUUUAUUAAAACAACAAGUUUGGUCUACAAAAUCCAGAAAAAACAGGUUCGGGAGUCGGUUACGCACGAGGAAGGAUUAGCACCCUCGAUACGCCCAAAAUUGGUACCCAGAUGAUUACUUAAUGUCUUAGUGUCGAAGAUUGAAAACUUUAAAGAAAUUUAAAAUACGAUCCUUAAAAAAAACUCGUACGGCAUGGAUUUAAAUUCAAUAAGAUAUUUGGCAAUUUGGUUAAACGAGAAAUCGAAACCCAGCACCUUAGGGCACGUUCCUCGAAUUUCCAAACGCAAAACAUUGCCUUAUUUUGAAAUUUUUAAGAAGGAUAUUAAGCCAUUUAGUUGAACGAGAAAAAUCGACACCCAGCACCUUAGGGCAUGUUUUCUCGAAUUUCUAAACGGCAAAACAUUGCCUUAUUUUGAAAUUUUUGAAAGGAUAUUUAGCUAUUUGGUUGAACGAGAAAAAUCGAAACCCAGCACAUUAGGGCACGUUUUCUCGAAUUUCCAAAAGCUAAACAUUGCCUUAUUUAGAAAAAUUUUCCUUUUUUGAAGUAUGGUGUUAAUAUACAUAAUGGAAUAAUAAAUAUGACAAUUUGAACAAAAAUAAUAUAAGCAAAAAUGAAUAAUAAAAAAAAAACAAAUCAAUCAUGUAUAUACCAUAACGAAUAAAUAAAUAAAUAAACAAACUAAAACAUAAAAAAUGGACAUAUAAAUAAGGACAUAAAUGAAAGAAAAAAUAAAGGAAAAUAUAUGAAAAUUAUAAAAUAUAAAAAAGGUAGGUACAUAUAAGGGAAAUAUGUAUGUAUACGCAUAAAAUUAUGGAAAUAUGAAAUAUAUAUAUAUAUGUAUUUUAAAAUUAUUAAAUAUAAAAUUUUAUGUAAGUGUGGAUAUACAUGUAUAUGUAUAUAAAGUAUAUAUAAUAAGGAAUAUGCAAGCAUGUAUAUAUAUAUAUGAAAAUUAAAAAUAUGAAUUUAAAGAUAUAUAUAUAAAAAAAAUAAGACAUAAAAUAUACAUGCAAGUAAAAACGUAUAUAUAUAUAUAUAAUAAGAUAUAAAGUAUAUAUAUGAAAAUUAAAAUGUUUGUGAAUGUGUAGAUAUGUAUGUAAGUUAUGAAAUAAAAAGGUAAAUUUGUAUAUACAUAAAAAAAUAAAAAGGAGUAAGAAGAAUAUGUGUAUAUAUAUUUAAAAUUAUGAAAUAUAAAAUGUGUAAGUGUGUGUAUAUAAAGUAUAAAUAAUAUGUAAGUAUGUAAAUAAAUAAAUAUAAAUUAUAGGCGUAUGGAUCCUUUAUAAAAAUGUAUGGUGGAUAUAGACGUGUAUAUAUAUAUAUGCAAUUAUAAUAAUGAUAAUAAUAAUAACAACAUCAUUAAAUUUGUCAAUUUUAAAAAUAAACUAACCAAAAUAACGAAAAAGGACUAAUUUGAACUUAAAACAAAAAUCUGGGGGGAAAAUCGCAAAUAAAAUAAGAAAGGAGUGGCCAGGGACCAAAAUAAAACAUGCUUAAAGCGCAAGGGACCUGUUGAGAAAUAUUCCCUUUCACUGAAACGUUGCGUUUCGACCGAGGGGGGGCAUGGUCUAAGGACCAAAUCGAAAUACAAACUAAAUUCACAGGCCGAAUAACAAAUAACCAAAAAGGAUCAGAUCGGCUACUGCACAAAAGCGGAGGGGCCUAUUGCGCAAAUAGCCCCUUUGGCGAAAACACGCGGAUCCCCUGGGUCGGAUCGGGUCGACGCGCGGGUCAAGGCGUGUCAAAACGGCGCCGUUUUGUGUUUACUAUAAAUAUUAAAAAAACCCCAAAAACAAAUCAGUUUCAUCAUUUAAAAAAAACAGAGAGAGAGCUCUCUCCCCUCUCUCUCAGGCCCCAAGUUAGGCCAAGGGUUCUGGCGAUCCUCCGCCAUUGACGGCGUCACGCCGGCCAUCGUACACGGUGGCCGGAAAAUUCAAAGGUAAAAUUUUUCUCUCCUUUUUCUCUCUUUUAUUUUAUAUUAUUGAUAUCUAAAAUAAAUGAAAAAAAUAAGAGAUAAAAAAAUGGGAAUCUAAGAAGAAAAAACCUUUAAACUUGCUUUUUUUGUUUUUUUUUAAUUUCAAACGUUCGUAGCAAAACGAAAGAAGAGAAAACUCUUCUUCUUUUAUAGCAAACUCGGUUUUUUUGCCGAAAAGGAAAAAAAAGAAUCAAAUAAAAAUCCCCCUUUUUACAUGUUCUUAGUUUCGGCUUUUAAAGCCGAUUUACAUGAAAUCCCUAGUCUAUGCCUAUGCCUGUCUCGCUUGCCUUGAUUUGUUUGCAGGGAUCAACGCACGUGGAUGGAAGUGACGGUGGCAGUUGGCGGUGGUUGCUGGCAGAGCAGGUGGGCAGAAGACCAAAAGUCAGAAGACCCUAGGAGCGGUGCCUAGGGUUCUUCUGUUUUCUGCUAGGGUUUUCUGUUUCCUUUUUUUGGUUGGGCCAUUUGGGCUGUUUAAGUUAGUUGGGUAUUGAAAGUUUGGGUUUAAUUUGUUUUGGGUUUGUAUUAGUUUUGAUGGGCUUUGGGCUUGGGGUUUAUUACUGGGCCCGGGCAAAAUGGCCUACAACAGCUGUCCCUCUUUGCUCGUUGUCGUGUAACGAGAAAAGAGCAAAGACCAAGAAAGGCCAACUUUGCCCGGUCUCGCUUGUUUUGGACUCGCUCUAGUGCUUCUCUUCAAGUAGCUUUAUUUCAGUCCACUGUGGCUUGUUGCUUCGCUCUACUCAACUGCACUUCUGAAACCUCUGACUUGUAGCCUCAAUCUUCUUCACAGCAACUUUAGGGGGACAAAGUUUAUGGUUUUAAUUUACUCCACUGCAACUUCAGGGAGAUAAGAUCUGUGGUUUUAAUCCGCUCCGCUGUAACUUCAGGGAGAUAGGAUAGUGUCUUCGAUCUGCUCCGCUGUAACCUCAGGGGGAUAAGAUCUGAAAUUCUUCGGUCUACUCUACUGUAACCUCAGGGAGAUAAGACCUGGUGUGAUCUGCUCUACUGUAACUUCAGAGAGAUAAGAUCCUUUAUUUUAAUCCGCUCCACUGUAACUUCAGGGAGAUAGGAUUAUGUCUUCGAUUUGCUCCGCUGUAACCUCAGGGAGAUAAGAUCUGAAAUUCUUCGGUCUACUCUACUGUAACCUCAGGGAGAUAAGACCUGGUGUGAUCUGCUCUACUGUAACUUCAGAGAGAUAAGAUCCUUUAUUUUAAUCCGCUCCACUGUAACUUCAGGUAGAUAGGAUUAUGUCUUCGAUCUGCUCCGCUGUAACCUCAGGGGGAUAAGAUCUGAAAUUCUUCGGUCUACUCUACUGAAACCUCAGGGAGAUAAGACCUAAUGCGAUCUACUCUACUGUAACUUCAGAGAGAUAAGAUCCUGUCUUCGAUCUGCUCCGCUGUAACCUCAGGGAGAUAAGAUCUGAAAGUCUUCGGUCUACUCCACUGUAACCUCAGGGAGAUAAGACCUGACGCGAUCUACUCUGCUGUAACUUUAGAGAGAUAAGAUCAUUCAUUUUAAUCCACUCCACUGUAAUCUCAGGGAGAUAGGAUUACUAACUUCAAUCUGCUCCGCUGUAAUCUCAGAGAGAUAAGAUCUGAAAUUCUUCAGCCAGCUCCACUACAACCGAGAGAGGUAAGGUUCGUCUUCGACCUGCUUCGCUGUCAAUGCAGGAAGGCAAGAUCUUUUGUCUUCAACCAGCUCCAUCACAACCGAGAGAGGCAAGGUUUGUGUCUUUGACCUAUUUCACCGUCAAUGCAGGAAGGCAAGAUCUUUUGUCUUCAACCAGCUCCAUCACAACCGAGAGAGGCAAGGUUUGUGUCUUUGACCUGCUUCGCCGUCAAUGCAGGAAGGCAAGAUCUUUUGUCUUUAACCAGCUCCACUGCAACCAAUGAAGGCAAGGCUUUGUUUUCGAUCUGCUUUGCUGUUAACGCAGGAAGGCAAGAUCUACUUCUUUAACCAGCUCCACUGCAACCAAUGAAGGCAAGGCUUUGUUUUUGAUCUGCUUCGCUGUUAACGCAGGAAGGCAAGAUCUGCUUCUUUAACCAGCUCCACUGCAACCAAUGAAGGCAAGGCUUUGUUUUCGAUCUGCUUCGCUGUUAACGCAGGAAGGCAAGAUCUGCUAUCUUUAACCAGCUCCACUGCAACUAAUGAAGGCAAGGCUUUAUUUUCGAUCUUCACUGAUCUGUUCUCUGGGAAACAUGACCUGUAUAAUGAACCUAAUUAUGCCUAAAGAUUAGGAUGGAAUGAUCAAAAUGAAUCAAAUGCUCCUAACUAGACAUGUGUGAACGGUGUUUGCAUGAAUGCAAAAUUUUAUUUUUCCGAGAAUGAUCCCGCCGAGGUUGUCAUUACUCGAAGUUUAUUAAGGCUUUGUGACUGACGUGCUACAACGUCUUCUCACUUGACCGACUUCUCCAAAGCAUCACUUCAGUCAGAUUGCCCCCACUGUGAAAUCCACUAGGACACAAAAUUUGUACCAUCAUUCUCCCACUGCAACCCAAUAGUAGAAAUAUGUGGCUUUUCCUCAAUCUUCUCCUAUCACAAUUCAAGGAAACAGGACGCAAAUCAUUCUAGUUUCUCACACCAUUCCCAAGGUGUCAUACUCAUGUGCAAAUAAAUGAUCUCUUCUCCGAGGUAAGCUCUGACUAUUGCCUGAUGAUCAUUGCUUGCUUGUUCAUUUAAGCUUUGUCAUUAACCCGUCAUCUUAUCAUUUUGUUCAAUCAAUGCAUUUGACAAUGAAAUCCAAAGAGAAAGUCCAAAUUUAUACUAUUCCUUCUCAAAUCUCCAACCUUUAAAUUUGGUGUGCUUUAAACGAUAGUCCUGUUUCAGGUUCCUAUAUUAUUUAGAAACUUUUCCGAGUAAUAUACAAAACUUCCUUUGUGAAAGUUUUAUUAGUCCAUUAACCAUUAUUCCAAUGCAACAUGUUUGCAGAAAAGGGUCAUAACAAUGGAUAAGAAUAAAGUUGGUUCUGAGCAUAGCUCGAAAGAACAAAUUAUCAAAAUAGUAAAGAAGGAUGACAAAGAAAUUAAUUGGGAAUGUAUAUCUUGGAAAAGAAAAAAGUAUUCCAAGAACAACAAAUAAUAUGAGAAUUGGGUGCCCCAGAUAUCGCAGCUUGAACUUCUCUGUACAAGCUUUCUGAAGACCAUUUUGAGCUGGACAUGCGUUUAGGAGAUCUACAGUGCUCUGUUGAUGCCCCAAGGUGUCGCCUAUCCUUUCUUGUUGAUUCAGGUAUAGCAAGAUCACCACAUGCCGCAAUAUGAUCAAAAGUCGAAUCGCUCUGGUUGCCUCAUGCCCUAUUCUGAGCAAAUAUUUGAUCCGCCCUUUUCGGGUUUUCAACUCAAAUCCCCUUUGGCCUAAGGCGCCCUUUGCGGGUUUUCCCCUUAGCCUCUCCAUUUUUCAUUUUUUCAUUUUUCAUUGUCAUUUGCCUCUCUCUUUUUUGACUCAAAGUGCCCUUUGCGGGUUUUCACCUUGGUCAUUUCUCCUUCUUUAAACGAAAUAUUUCUUGAUUGGAUCCGAGUUUAUAGGACUAGCAAUCUCACUCAAGAUCAGUGCUCUUCUGAAAAAUGUCUUCUUUACAACGUAGGGACAUUCUCAGUUUGGCAUUCAUUUCCCUCUAGAAUCCUUUUGGAGAGGAAUGAUCUUUUUCGACAUCCAACCCUCUCGUGGAAUUCUCUGAGAUGACACUGUUCAUUAUGGGCUCGUAUCAUUUGUUUUCGGUACAUCCGACCUUGAAGAAUAACUUUUAACAUUUUUCCUAGGUUCAACUGAUCGCAUUGCGAUUGAAUCCAUUCUGCUUCAUCCAAUUCUAGCUCAACUAAUACUCGGAGAGAAAGGAUUUCAAUAUGUGAAACUACCUAAACCCCGCAAACCAAAGAGAAAGCUAUUGCCCCGGUACAGAUGUUCGACAAGCAAUGAAGGCAAAUAGUAAUUUCUCAUGCCAAUCCUUGUAAGUCUCAGUCAUUUUCCUUCAAUUUUCGAUGUUCAACUCUAGGCACUUCAGUGACGAAUCGUGGUGUCCACUUCUGAGUUAAUUUGAGACCUCGGCUAUCGUGCUAUUGUUUGGCUCAUGAAGUAGCCUCUCAAAAUGAAGCAAUGCCCAUUAGAAGUCUUCGAUAAUGGUGAUGUCCAUGCCCCAUUGUGCUCAAAAUUUGAGUCACCCUUUUCGGGUUUUCAACUCAAAGCCUCGUUUGGUCACAAAGCGCCCUUUGCGGGCUUUCGCUUUGGCCUCUUCUUUUAUUUUUCUUUUCUUUUUCAUUCUGAUUUUCUCAUCUAGAUUUCUAUUUUUUAUUCUUCUUUCUUUUUCUCAUUUUCAUUUUGAUCUUGAUAUUGAUUUUUUUCUUCCCUUUUUUUUUAUCUGAGCCUUUUGGGGCACAACUUCGACAAAAAACUUUGGAUCUUCCUUUUUAAUCAGGAUGGACCCAACAAUAACUUGAAGAGAUGAAAAUUCGACUUCAAAUGGGCAAAACUAUGCUGACUUCACGAGAAAGGCAUUGCCCCGGCAAAGAAUUACAUCGUUCAUACUGCAAAUUUCUGACAUCGUGCUGUUGUGUAGAUUUCAUUAUCGACAUUUAACCCGGGCAUAUCCUGGUAUGAUUAUACAAAGAUAUCAUCGAACUCUAGAGGUAACUUGAUGAGGUCUCACUUCAUUUUUGCUGUUUGGUCAAUUCUAAUCUUUGCCAAGCUCACGAUUUCUAAUGAUUCCUUGUGAGGUAGGAUCUAUCUAUCCUCUUGUUCAACCAUCCUUAACAAGUCAGGAGAUAAAUUACAAUCUUUGUCAUUUUCAAAGCCUUGAGAUCCCUCUGAACACAUGCCUCGCUCAAAAGGAAAAUCUGGGUCUGUAGCAGAGUCAUUCACGUAAUUGAUAUCCGGGGACUCAUAAUAAGUACCAAAGAAUAUACAAAAGAAAGUAUAAUAAAUUUAUGAAUAAUUAUUUAUACUAUAUGAUUAUGAGUGAAUGAUGUGAAAGCAAAUCUAAAAGAAUGAAAUAAUCAGAAAUAAUUAUUCAAAAAGAAUGAAAGAAUAUUGGCUCAAAAAGGAAUGCAAAGAUGUAUUUUAUUAGAAUAAUAACGUUCAGACAUUAGCCUAUUUCACAAAGGAAUUUCUAUCGCUUUAGGCUAAAAACAACAGAAAUGUUCUGAACAUUACUCUAAAUAAGCCCUGAUAGCUACAGGAAUUUCUUCCGCAGUCUAAUUGUUUAGAACACUCCAGAAUUCAUAAGGGCUGACAUCUAACAAGGUCCCUUCCCAAUUGUGUCUUCAGACACGUCGUUGAUGUGAACAUUUCCUAACACUUCUUCGUACACCUCAUUCGCCUCGUCAUUAAUAUGAUUGGGCAGUGUAUUUUCUGCACUAGAGGAAUCAUCAAAUUUAACAACGCCCAUACUGAUAAGCCUUUCAAUCAGUUUGUUAAAAGGCAAUGCAAUUCUCUACUGAGUACCCUAAAAUUCUCGAAUGAUAAUCACAUUGCAUGUUCAUAUCAUACCAUUUGGGAUAAGGAGGCUAUAAAGGGGUCAAGUAACGAGGAGCACCAACAUGCGCAUCGAACAAGCUUUGAUACAGCUCCUUAUAUGACAUCGAAAUUGGUGUGACCUGGAGCUUCUCAGUACCUGGUUUCACUCUAGAUUUUUGCUUUAAAAGGCUCUGAUGGCUGGUGGUCUCCGUCUUUGGCAUGCCCACAGUGAUUGGUUUUGAGUGGCCCUUGUUAUAUCCGCCUAUAUUAUCCCUUUUAUUCCCCUUCUUCCUUGGGGCCUUUAUAGUAUUUGGGUACUCUAUCCUCAUCUUCUUUAUUUCGGCUAGAUUAGCAAUAGGAUUAGCUAAAUCAUUCCUCAAAUUGGAUUCUAAGCCUGUCAGACAAUUCACUGGUGUCGAUGUACCAGUCUGAUAAUAUUGGGAUCCGAUAGUAAAAAGUGCUCCUUGUGAACGCCCAUCUGGUUAGACCUAGACACUUGUUGGAGUACAAUAUAUGGAAUAGACAAGAUCCUCAUUAUCAACCCCAAAGUAAACCACCGGGUCUUUCACUUCUUUUGACUUUCCAGCUAGCAAUCGGUUGAACUGGUUUAUCACAGUUCUCCGUAAUUCUAGCAUCUGAUCUCUCAUCUCCUGUUGAAAUUCAGUCAAUUGCUCAUGCAUCUGGAUCUGCAUUCGCUCUAAUUUUUCCAACCUUCGUUCCAUUUCUCUUGCCUUUGCUUGGAUAUCGUAAGGAUGUUUGGUCGGUUGGCUUUCCAGUUUAGCCGAAAUAAAUUUACUCGUUUAGACUCUUUCAAUGGAUUUUAAUGCAUGUAAUGCAAUGUAAUGCAAAUGCAUAAAAUGAAUGCCUAAAGAGACAUUGAUUCUGAUUCAACUACAUUUAGGAAACUUUUCUAGAAAGCAAAUUCCUUUACAUAAAACGGAUACAUGUACGGCCUCACCCUCAUAUUCCAAGAAACAACAUCAGUCUUUUUCUUCAUCCGCAUGUUUGAGGUAAUCUCGCCAAUAGAUGCCAUUGCUAGCUCAUUCUCUUGAUCUUGGUCGCGAUCCAUCAUCUGCCCAUCUUCAUAAGGCUCGUCAGCUUCUUUAAGGGAGUGGAACGUUGAAGGCUCUUAGACAAUUGCCUUGAAUCCUAAGGCCACGAAGCAGGAUCACGAACUCUUCCAUCUCCAUUCUUGUGUUUCUCAGAAUAUAUUCGGGAAGUCGUAUUGUUUUCCACUUUAUCAAGGAAUUCGUAUUCCAUGACAAGCUUUCUAAUUUAGUAAUCGAACUUGAAUCAAUAUCUCUUUCUUAAGAUGCAAAUGCAAUGUAAUGCAAUCAUAAUCAAAACACAACAAGAAGGGUUAGAACAAAACAUAAGCAAGCAUGGGAAAAAAAAACCUAAUCAGGUAAAUACUAGGGAUUUGGAGUGGCUCUACCUAGGUUAAAUUCCUAAGUCCACUAUAUGAGGGUUGGUUCUAAAGAUAAGGUACCCGAACCAGCAAAUUCCUCGAUCUUCACCCAUUAUAAGCUCAUACAGACCGAGUUCGGUUCAGGGGAAUACAUUUCCCUAUGGCUGCACGGAGAUGAAAAUCUCACGAAGACAUAGGUACGGAUGUAUCCCGGAAGUGAUCCACUAUCCUGCACGGAGGUGAAAACCUCACGAAGGACUAGCUUCUCACUCCCACUUAAGAAGGUGUGACCAACGGUCAUGCAAUGCAAUGCAGAAAGGCAUAAAAAAAAUUUAAAAUACAAAAUAAGAUGAAAACUAUAACUCAAAACAAAUGAAAUGCAAUGAGUGGAUCAUAUAUUUAAAUCACAUUUUCAACUUUCGACAAAAAGACAAGAAAUAAUCAACUCGUGGCUUGACUCUCUUAUUUUGGGUCCCCAGUGGAGUCGCCAAGCUGUUGACACCAUUUUUUGGAUGGAAAACGGGGUCGACUUGGGUUUUGAAAAUGAAAACAAAAACGGGAGUCGCCACCAAUCCUUUUUGAUGAGGUGUGAUUGGGUCACCUCGAAGGGUAGUUGUUUUUAAUAAAAGGUUUGAUUUUAUUAAAACAACAAGUUUGGUCUACAAAAUCCAGAAAAAUAGGUUCGGGAGUCGGUUACGCACGAGGAAGGAUUAGCACCCUCGAUACGCCCAAAAUUGGUACCCAGAUGAUUACUUAAUGUCUUAGUGUCGAAGAUUGAAAACUUUAAAGAAAUUUAAAAUACGAUCCUUAAAAAAAACUCGUACGGCAUGGAUUUAAAUUCAAUAAGAUAUUUGGCAAUUUGGUUAAACGAGAAAUCGAAACCCAGCACCUUAGGGCACGUUCCUCGAAUUUCCAAACGCAAAACAUUGCCUUAUUUUGAAAUUUUUAAGAAGGAUAUUAAGCCAUUUAGUUGAACGAGAAAAAUCGACACCCAGCACCUUAGGGCAUGUUUUCUCGAAUUUCUAAACGGCAAAACAUUGCCUUAUUUUGAAAUUUUUGAAAGGAUAUUUAGCUAUUUGGUUGAACGAGAAAAAUCGAAACCCAGCACAUUAGGGCACGUUUUCUCGAAUUUCCAAAAGCUAAACAUUGCCUUAUUUAGAAAAAUUUUCCUUUUUUGAAGUAUGGUGUUAAUAUACAUAAUGGAAUAAUAAAUAUGACAAUUUGAACAAAAAUAAUAUAAGCAAAAAUGAAUAAUAAAAAAAAAAACAAAUCAAUCAUGUAUAUACCAUAACGAAUAAAUAAAUAAAUAAACAAACUAAAACAUAAAAAAUGGACAUAUAAAUAAGGACAUAAAUGAAAGAAAAAAUAAAGGAAAAUAUAUGAAAAUUAUAAAAUAUAAAAAAGGUAGGUACAUAUAAGGGAAAUAUGUAUGUAUACGCAUAAAAUUAUGGAAAUAUGAAAUAUAUAUAUAUAUAUGUAUUUUAAAAUUAUUAAAUAUAAAAUUUUAUGUAAGUGUGGAUAUACAUGUAUAUGUAUAUAAAGUAUAUAUAAUAAGGAAUAUGCAAGCAUGUAUAUAUAUAUAUGAAAAUUAAAAAUAUGAAUUUAAAGAUAUAUAUAUAAAAAAAAUAAGACAUAAAAUAUACAUGCAAGUAAAAACGUAUAUAUAUAUAUAAUAAGAUAUAAAGUAUAUAUAUGAAAAUUAAAAUGUUUGUGAAUGUGUAGAUAUGUAUGUAAGUUAUGAAAUAAAAAGGUAAAUUUGUAUAUACAUAAAAAAAUAAAAAAGAGUAAGAAGAAUAUGUGUAUAUAUAUUUAAAAUUAUGAAAUAUAAAAUGUGUAAGUGUGUGUAUAUAAAGUAUAAAUAAUAUGUAAGUAUGUAAAUAAAUAAAUAUAAAUUAUAGGCGUAUGGAUCCUUUAUAAAAAUGUAUGGUGGAUAUAGACGUGUAUAUAUAUAUAUAUGUGCAAUUAUAAUAAUGAUAAUAAUAAUAACAACAUCAUUAAAUUUGUCAAUUUUAAAAAUAAACUAACCAAAAUAACGAAAAAGGACUAAUUUGAACUUAAAACAGAAAUCUGGGGGGAAAAUCGCAAAUAAAAUAAGAAAGGAGUGGCCAGGGACCGAAAUAAAACACGCUUAAAGCGCAAGGGACCUGUUGAGAAAUAUUCCCUUUCACUGAAACGCUGCGUUUCGACCGAGGGGGGGCAUGGUCUAAGGACCAAAUCGAAAUACAAACUAAAUUCACAGGCUGAAUAACAAAUAACCAAAAAGGAUCAGAUCGGCUACUGCACAAAAGCGGAGGGGCCUAUUGCGCAAAUAGCCCCUUUGGCGAAAACACGCGGAUCCCCUGGGUCGGAUCGGGUCGACGCGCGGGUCAGGGCGUGUCAAAACGGCGCCGUUUUGUGUUUACUAUAAAUAUUAAAAAAACCCCAAAAACAAAUCAAUUUCAUCAUUUAAAAAAAAACAGAGAGAGAGCUCUCUCCCCUCUCUCUCAGGCCCCAAGUCAGGCCAAGGGUUCCGGCGAUCCUCCGCCAUUGACGGCGUCGCGCCGGCCAUCGUACACGGUGGCCGGAAAAUUCAAAGGUAAAAUUUUUCUCUCCUUUUUCUCUCUUUUAUUUUAUAUUAUUGAUAUCUAAAAUAAAUGAAAAAAAUAAGAGAUAAAAAAAUGCGAAUCUAAGAAGAAAAAACCUUUAAACUUGCUUUUUUUGUUUUUUUUUUUAUUUCAAACGUUCGUAGCAAAACGAAAGAAGAGAAAACUCUUCUUCUUUUACAGCAAACUCGGUUUUUUUUGCCGAAAAGGAAAAAAAAGAAUCAAAUAAAAAUCCCCCUUUUUACAUGUUCUUAGUUUCGGCUUUUAAAGCCGAUUUACAUGAAAUCCCUAGUCUAUGCCUAUGCCUGUCUCGCUUGCCUUGAUUUGUUUGCAGGGAUCAACGCACGUGGAUGGAAGUGACGGUGGCAGUUGGCCUUGAUUUAUAAUGUAGAGCUCGAUUUUGAUAUAAAAAUUUACUGAAGUUCGUUAUAUUAGAUUCGUUUGCCAAAUAAAAUGAAAAAAAAGGGUCAAAUUCUAUUAUUAAUUCUUACACUAUGUAUAAGUCAUGGAUUUAGUUUAUGUAUUUUAAUUUGGUUAUUUUUAGUCACUAUACUUUUCAAAAUUUAAAAUUUCAAUCUUCAUCAAAUAGUAACUAUUAAAUUUAUUAAGUUAAACUAUACUAUUUUAAAAAAUAUGAUAUAAAAAUUAUAUUAUCAUAUUAACUUGUUAUUUUCAUAUAAUACUCAUAAAAAGGUCACAUUAUUUUAGUUAAUGAAUUUAACUACUAUCGUUUGAGUCAAUAUUGAAAUAUCAAAUUUGAAAAGCAUAAAGACUAAAAAUGAUCAAAUUGACGACCAAAUUAAAGUACAUGAACUAAACUUACAACUUAUGCGUAAUAUAAGGACUAAUAGUGAAAUUUGACCAAAAGAAAACAUGAAAUGAAACAUGCAUACAUACGUACCCUAAGUGCAAGGAAGUGUCUGGGAGAUGGUUGUCAUCAUCUGAUGCACUAUUAUUAUCAUCAGCCUUUGAAUUAUUUGGUGAAUGUUCAAGUCUUCUUUCCAGCAAUAGAUUCAAUUCUAGUAUAUUCGAGCUCCUUUUUUGUCUCAAUUCCUCAACCUUAAAACCACAUUCAAUAAUCAACAAAAUACAAUAUUAUACACUCCAAAAUCUUAAUAUUAUAUAUAAGCUAAACUACACUACUAAUCACUCAAUUAUCGGUAAGUUUAUUUUUUGAUUACCUAAUUAUAAAAAGUUACAAAAUAGUCAUGAUUUUGUCCUUUUUGUCAUCCGUUAUUAAAUGGCUAAUGGCUAAUGGAAAGAUUACCUGGCAGGUUUUAAAAUUGGCAUUAUAGCGAUUUUAACCCUCAACAUUUAUACAUUAUAUCGAUUUAGUCUUGACUCUAAAAAGUUUAUCUCUCAACAUUUACAUGUAGUGUAAUUUAGUGUUUUUUACAAUUUUUUUUGUGUGACCUUUUAACAGCUUAAAAAAUAAAUUUAUCCAGCUAAAUUUUAUCAAAAAUAUAUUAAAUUAACACUCAAUGUCACAAAAAAAGCAAAACUGCAAAAAAGACUAAAUUAUAGAAUGUGUAAAUGUUGAGAGUUAAAUUUUUUAGAAUGAAGAUUAAAUUGACACAGUAUAAAUGUUGAAAGUUUAAAUUGCUAUUAUGCCAAUUUUAAAAGUCAUCAAAUUACCUUUCUGUUAGUGAUUUAACUGUUGGUGACAAAAAAAAAAAUUCAACAGUUGGGUGAUUAACAAUAUAGUUUACUCUUAUAUAUAUGUAAAUACAUGUGUAGCAGUACGUACCUGUUUGCGUAGAUCUUCAUUCUCCAUUAUAGUCUUCUGUUCCUGAAAAUAUACAAAUAUUAAACCAGAAAUCAUUAGCAUUAAAUGUUAAUUACAAUUAUUUCAAAAGUAAAAUGUACCUGUAAUCGAGAUCUUUUAAGCUGCUCCAUUAGAAUUUGCUCCUACAACAAUAAAGCUUCAGUUUCUAGAGCUCACAAUUAGGCUCCUAAUGGAAUUAUUUUAAGUUUGUGUUUGUAGGAGAGUUACUAAAUAUACUAAAAUUAUGUUUGUCCUGGAUAUCCAUUAAUCUUUUCUGUAUUUCUAAUAUACAUGCUAGAUAUAUAUACUAAAAUUAUAUAUUUAUAUAAUAUGAGAAGAUUAUAUAUAUAAAUAUAAUUUGUAGGAAUAUUAAUGUCAGUACCUUUUGUUGCUCAACUGAUGCUAUCCCUUCGUUUAAUUGAUUCUCCAGCUGUUUUAAUUCUUUGAAACUCAAAUCAUCUAGUUCUUUUCCAUUAAGCCUCCUGCAAAUCACACCUCAAAUUUUACUUAAUCAAAUACUUAUUUAUUUAUUUAUUUACGUAUUAACACCUAUCACUUGUAUUUUAUACAUAUUCAGAUAUAUGUAUGAAAAUGUAAUUUCACAUUUUAUUUACCAUUCACAUUUAAAUCCAAAUAACAUAGAUUCGAAGAUUUAUUUCUAACUCAUUAGUUAUUAUUUGUAAUUUCUUUCAUUUUCCUUACCAUUUUUUUUUAUUGUGAAUGCUUAGUUGAAAUGACAAAAUUAAGGUUUUGAAGAUACGGGUAUCCUAAUGAUUUAUUUUGAAUUUAAACUAUUUUUUUAUAGAUUUUAUAUAAAUACAUAAAUGAAAAGACAAAAAGCAAACUCAUAAUAUUAUUUGUUAUCUUUUAAAUAAAAACCCCUUUUUAAAAUUAUUUUUCAACUAAAUUGAUCUUUAGUUAAACUCGUGGCUUCAACUCAGUUAGAUAAUUAUAUAUAGUAUAAUUAACAAACAAUAGAAUUGAAAUUGGCAUACAUGUAUGCUGUGUGUAGCCUUAAAUGUUCCUGUUUCAUGGUGUUCACCUCAAUUCCUUGCAACUUCUGUUUUUUUAACAAAAAAAAACACACACACGAUAUUAGAAAUGUAAUUAUUAUUUCGAUCAAGUCUUAACUCAACUGAUAUUGACAUUGACAUCAAUAUAUAUAUAUAUACCUCAGCUUGUUGCUCAUCAAAAGGGUGUUCUAGAGAAUGCUCUUCUUCCAUUCCUUUGUUGUACCUUGAAAGAGUGUGUUCCAUGCUACAUUCAUAAAAUGUCAUGUUUAAAAAAAAACAAUAAAUUAAAAAUAAAAAUCUAACUCAUUAUUAGGGUUUAGGAUUUUUUUUAACCUAUAUUGUUUGGACUUGAGCCGAUCAAAUUUAUGACAAGUUAUUCUUAGCUUAUCGUAACUAUUUAUGUAUCAUUUUUGUUUUAAUAUGAGUAUGUGUUGUUGUGUUUUAGUAUAUAGUUUCGUAUUUAUCAUUUUUUUAAAUAUUAUAUAUAUAAUAUACUUGCAAAUAUUUCUUAAUUAUAAUAUGUAAAUAUAAAAUAUAAAAUUAUUAAUUAAGAAAGGUUAUAUAUUAUUUUUUAAAGCAAUUAUAUAAAAAAAGUAGUUAAGAAAGAAAAGGGAAAUAUUAAAAAUUCCUUUAUAGGAAUUAAUACUCACCGAUACAAGCAUAUAUUAAUUGAAAUGAAUCAAAACUCAAUGAAAUUUUAAUUGAAGUGAAACUUAAACUAUUUUACUCUAGUUCAAUAUCGAGGCGAUUCAUAACGAUUGAUACAACUAGUAUCGAAACUACCGACUACCAUACCACAAAGCAAAAAGAAAAAUAAUGGAAAUCAAUCAAAUUACAACUCAACUUACUUUCAUGCUUAGAAAAAAAACUGUUCUAAAAAAUAAUCAUCCAAGAAAAUAAAUAUAUAUAAGUUGUAUAGACCGUUACAAACUAAUAUACACUCAUAUAAGUCGAUAUUAACUAAAACAAAUCAAAACACAAUAAAAUUUUAAUAUAUUAAUUCAAUAUUGAGACUAUAGCCAAUUAUUAAGAAAAGAAAAAUAAUGGAAAUCAAUCCAAUUAUAGGUCAACUUACUUUCAUGCUUACAAAAAAGAAAAAGCUUCGAUUAUUAAAAAUCAUCUACAAUAUAUAUAUAUAUAUAUAUAUAUAUAAGUAUUAUACUAUAUUAUGUACCUAGUGCUGGACCAUUGAUAGACCUUGCCGGUGCUUGAAAAAAUAAUAACCCCAACCUCUGCAUCACAUAAAAUGGACAAUUCUUUAGCUUUCUUCAACAACCCAUUUCGCCUCUUUGAAAACGUUACUUGCCUGCUAUUCAAAUUUUCAAUCUUUUUUAUUUCAAUUUUCCCUCUACCCAUCUCAAAAUUUUCUUCUUUCCUUUACUUUUUCCCGGAAAAUUUUUAAAAGACCCCAGAUUUUUUUUUCUUAAAUUUUGAAUAAAAAACCAAAGGUUUUUAUAACAACAAACAGAUCAAAGAAAAUAAGGCAAAAAAUUUAGGGGAUUGUAAAAGGAUUCUUUUUUUAAGAGAAAAGAAAAUAAGUAAGUAAUGUUUAUAUAUAACAAUUGUUUUCUUAAAUGGAAAUGGAAAAUGAUAUGGAAAAAGAAAAUAUGUGACCAAAAUUAGGGUGAAAUCUUGAAAGGUGACAGAUUUGAUUCUAUAUCUAGCAAUUAUCCAACUAUGGAAACUCUAUUUAUUAUAGCUUUAGUUUUUUUUUUCUUUCUAUUUAUCUUAAUUUCUCUACCUUUUUAAUCUGCUGUUUUUGGCAUUUCAACUCAAAAUGGAUUUGAUUUUUGCUUUGGGUUUCUUUUUUUAAAUAUAAAAAGUGGGUUUUAAUUAUUUAUAUAUUAUUGUGCUUUAAUAAUUUUUUUUAGUGAAUAUUGAUUUUUUUUUUGAAUUACAAUAGGAGAGUAAAGUCCUAAUAACAACACGACUAGAGCGAUUAGAAUUUAGCCACACUUGAGACAUUGAACACAAGUAUUUCACGAGGACAUAUAACACAUGUUUUUUAAAUUCAUGGCUAAAAUAAUAAUAAAAAUCUCUUUAUUUUAUUGUAUUCAAAUAAUAAUAAAAACCAUGGUUUUAGUUGUAUCGGCCUGUGCCAUUGUUUUACUGUUAUAAUGCAACAAGCAACACUAAUGAAAAUUUUGGUUUGUACCGUUCGCAUUGGCCAGAAUAUGAUACACCUGCUACUGCAUGAAUAAUAUUAAAAAAUAUAAAACUAUUAACUAUUUUCUAUUAGACUAAAUAUUUAAUUGAAAUGUAUUGACCAAUAAAAAAAUAUUAUACUAUAAAGUAAAGUUUAACAUUUAAAACUAUUUUUGGAGCAUACUUUUUCAUUUAAAAUAUAAAAAUUAAAAUAUAACAAAAAAAAACCCACUCACCUCGUUAUCAUAGAAAAAUAUUCACUCGCCCUUCAGCUUUUUUUUAUUGAAAAAACCCCCUCAUCCUUCGAUUUAUUUUUUCUUCUUAAUUUUGAAUUUAUUGAAUGAUGAGUUUUUACUUGUAGAGUUUAUUAAUCAAUAUUUUAUAUAAUUGAUGAAUAGUUUUAUAUUAAAAAUUAUUUAUAAUAAUUUAUUUGAUAUUUGUAUAUUUAUUUAUGUAAAUAUAUUAAAUAUUUUAAAAAAUAUCGAUAAAUUUAAAAUGGCACAUAAAAUAGACUAGUAUCAAUACAUAACGAUUCUCAUAAAAAAGUGGUGCUUACACCAAUGUGUUAAUGGCUACCUUUGAAAGCAAGUAUGUGGGUGGCUAUAAUGUUUGAUGCUUUGUUUUCUUUGAAUAUUUUGCUUUGAUGCUUUUGAUCUGUGCUGAUCUUUUGAGUGCAACCAUUGGGAUAUAUAUGGCUAUAUGAAUUUUUAUGAUUUGCUAUGCAUUGAUUGUGGUUGUUUUAUUAAUAAAUUUAUGUUUUGGAUUGAGAAAAAAAAUUCGAAACACAAAAAGAAAGUAGAGAAAGUGAACACAAUGAUAUACGUGGUUCGGGAAUAUUCCCUACAUCCACGGGCAGAACCAAAAAUGAAAUUCACUACUAAAAAUUGGAGAUUACAAUGGAAUUACAUCAUAAAAUAAAUUACCUCGCCAAUAACUAUCCACAAACUUUGAAUGGAUUCAUGGUCUGAGAAAUUCGGAAAACUAAGAUGGACAUCUUUGAGAUUGGAUAGAACAAUAUUUUGGGAACUUUGUCGUCUUACAUGUGUCAAAUUGAGCUCUCUAAUGCCAUGUUGUAACGUGUACUAUAUCCCUCCAUUAAUCCUGGAAGGAUCAAACUAUCACGUAAAAGACUUGUUCUUCUGAAAAACCAUUGGUUAAUAGUACUACGAAAUGUCAAAUAUUUUUAACUAAAGAAUCCCAUUCUCAUAUACCAAAAUAGCUUAGAAAUUAGAAGAUGCAAAUGAAAACAGAACAUUCAAUUUGCUGAAUAAAUGUUGCAGAGAAUUGACUAACCGCUUUACUAAAUCAAAUAAGCUGAAGCAGAUGAGUUGAAGUUCACUAUUUUUCGCCAAUUUAGUGUCUGCAAAAAUUGAAUACAAAAUAUAUAAGACUCGUUUCUGUUAUCAUGUUGUUCAUGAGGUCAAUCAGAUAUAUAAAAAAUAAAGCUAUGAAAUUUAUAAAUGUUUAAAAUGCGUUUCACACCUGUGCUUUGAGUGUGGAGAAAUCGAUACCAGAUUUUGCUGCUUAAAUUUCAAUACCUCGGGAUGACUAUAUUCUUAUCAAUUUGAACAUAAGGUAUGUGGGAAAUCUUGGACCACUCUCGUCCUUUACCCCUAUUGCACCCUUCUUCUAGCAACGGGCAACGCUGAAUAGAUAGACGCUCAAGCGAGAGAAGCAUAACUUUUUCUGGAAGAGAGGCGAGCUUAGGACAAUCAUAGAUGCCCAAUUUUUGAAGAGAGGUGAGGUGUUGUAAGCCCUUGGAGCACAUGAAUUCCAAAUUUUCAAAUCUACGGAUGCUGAUUUCGGUGAGAGAAGGAGGCAGCGCCAUUCCUAUCCCUUCUUCUGGAAACGACACCACAUUUGAGCAUCCUUCACCGCUGAUGUUGAGUCGCUGAAGAGAGGUAAGUCUGUUAAAUCCCCAUUGAACAAGUGAUGUAUAAAUUUUGGGUGCGUUUGAGAUUGCAAGUGAUGUGAGGUUGGCAGGGAAACCCUCUUCUGGAAAGGAUAUGUCAGCCGAACAAUAAGACACCUUCAAUUCUCGAAGGGAGGUGAAGUUGUUGAUGCACUUGGGAAGGACUCCAAAAUUUUCACAAUUCUCAAUUGCGAAAACUCUGAGAUUUGUCGUGGGCAACCCACUUUCUUCAAAUGAAACCAGAUUUGGACACCUAGAUAAUUUAAUCUCCUGAAGAUGGCUGAGCUUGUCUAAUCCCCGCGGUAAUGAUUUAAUUUUUUCAGCACCACGAAUGCCAAUGCUUUCGAGAUCAAUGGUUUCAAAGAAGUCUUGGGCUAUGCAUUCCAACACUGGACAAUCCCAAAUAAAUAGCUGUUUAAGCAUUACGGGUAACUUGGCGUUUAAAAAUAACCUAGUUAGCUUUGAACAACUUUCAAUUUCGAGAUGUUGAAGUCGAUUGCAUAUAUCGCCCCUUGAUAAUAACCAUAUUAGAGAUGGACAGCUUCUUAUUACUAAGUGCUCAAGAAGACAAGUGUUGCUAUUCGCACUCUUAUUAUUAUUUUCUUUUUCAUCAACCAAAUAUUGCAAAUUCACGCAAUUCCCAAUCCUCAGCUCUUUUAAUGCAGGAGGAAAGUUACUCUCUGCAAAACAAACCAUGCCUGGACAGCUUUCAAGUUGUAUUCUUGUAAUGAAUGGGAAAGCAUGUAAGGCUUCUGGUAGUCUAUUGAGCCUUUCACAAUUCCUUAUGUUCAGAGAUUCAACACCUGGAAUCUUGUCAAGUUGCAAUCUCUCCUCCUCUGUUUCCAAAGAGACCAAUUGGGGACAAUCCACAAUACUAAUAAAACGAUGCCCGACUAAUCUUAACCCAAUUUGCGAUAAAGAUCCCAACUCCUUCCAACCAGAGAUGACCAAUGUUUCGGAGUUUGCAAACCUCAACAUUAUCCUCUCUGCUGAAAUGUUAAAAUUUGAAAUAUUUGAAACACACAAACUUUUAAAGGAGGUAACCUUCUGUACGGACAAAGAACCUUCAUCCACCAAUUCUUCACACCCUUCAACCCAUAUUUUACGCAGCAAGGGAAAACAAGAAAUUGAAACUACCAGUCUCUUACAGUUGUAGAUUUGAAGCGUCUGCAAGGAUUGAAGGAUGGUUGGCAACCUUCCCAGCAAUAGAGGACAAUGUCUGAUUGAAAGAGAACGAAGGCUGGGGAAUUUCGAUACUUGCUCAUCAUCUUCACAUAGGUCCCACUCCUCCCAAUUCAGCAUAUUGCGAAAAUGCAGAGACUCUAAUGAUGCAAAAGUAUUUGAUUGAUUUUCUCCAAACAUCUCAGCACCAAUCUUGUGUACUUGAUCCAAACCACUAAUUGAAAGAUCUUUUAACAACAACAACC
rnacentral:lncRNA from 1 species